GCCCCCGUGAGUAGUGGAAAGACGUCCCCACGCAUACAGUAUUAUUUUAGCCUGACGGACAGGACAGACAAAAGAGACAGCGACACCCACUGUUCGGGGUGCGCGUUCGGUUAUACCCGAAAUUUCAGUUCGGUUCUUCAGGUUUUCAUGAAAUUCGGUUCUUCAAAUAUGAGGACCGAAGUUAUCUUAAAAAUUUUGAGAACCAAAAGUUCGGUUCACCGAAAAUUUGGUUCGGUUUUCGGUUCGGAACCCAACUACCCGAACAUUGUGUUUACAGCAAAAAAAAAUAAUAAAAACAAAUUUAGUUCAAUCUUCUACUUACAACAGAAAAUAGAUUUAAGUUACACGAAAAAAGAAACACAUAAUCUUAUGUGACACAGGCACACGUAAUGAAUAAAUAUCAUCUAACAUGCAAUGAAAACAUUAAAUUUUAAAGAUGCAGCAAUGAACUUCGGUUCUUCAGGUUUUUCUGUUAACCGAGGCAAGAGACCGAAUUAACCGAACGAACUUCAGUUCUUUGAGUUUGCUGACCGAAGCUUCAGACUGAUCGAGGCUGGUUGUACGUAUGUAUGCGAGUGAACAGGGACAAUUAACCAAGCAGCGAGUAGAGCACAGUGAAGAACAGCAAGGAGCAACUGUUGUGCUCGUGUGCUCUGCUGCUCCUGCUCGUUCAAUUCACUGCUCCGGUGGACGCUAGCUAGAGCUAGAGCUACAAUUCACUGCAAUCCAUACAAGACCACAGACAGACACACCUUUUCGGAGAAAGUGACUUGCUGUUUUGCAUCCAUCUGCGCUGCCUCCUCCCACUAGCAUCUAGUGGUUGCAUUUUUCGGGCGUCUUUGAACCAACUCAGGAGGAGAAGCCCCUAGCUGAAUUUAAAUUGAAACGGAGCCAAAGCCUCAGAGUUUUACAGAGUUACGUACAGCGAAACACAAAAUUUACAAACUGAGAAGGAAGGCACUCGGUCUAACCAACUCUGUUAUCGCUAAUUGCCGCACAGAACCCCAACGUUGUCGCUGAACCAGGUAUACAUGGACAGGGACACACACACAGAUCAGACAGAGGAAUGGGGACGCACCGCUAACAAGAUGGAUUGUCAGACAACGACCUGGUCAUGGGCCUUUUUUAUUUUUUCUCUUCUUUUGAGCGGAUGGGCCUUUCUUUUAGAAUUGCACGGAUCGAUAGUUGGGUUCAAAGUAGCAGGCCGUCCAUAUACAUAAAACCUAAGCCCCAAUAAUGGGCCGGUUCCAGGAACCAAUUGGUGCACUGCUGCCUGCACCAACGGAACGAAACGGAUCGCCGCCGCCGUCGCAUCCCAGUCAAUCGCCAUAUACGAGUAUAUGGUGCACUCGAUUAAUCGUCAACUCUGAAAACCCCCAAUUUUGUUCGAUCUGUGCCAUGUUGUGAUUUCGUAGAGGCAGUAUCUAUCUCCCCUUUGAUUGCAUCCCCCAAUCGCUGCUGGUCUUCCCCUCGCGGUCACCAAUUGCAGCCACGGCCUUCCGAUUCGUAAAAAGUGCCGUCCAUUUUAUAAUAACUUACUACAAAUUUUGUACCAAUUGGACCAUUAUGCUUUUUAUGUAUCAGAUGGAGUAUAUGACAGCGCAGGGCAGGACUUGAAACAAUCGGAAAUUUUGCCCGUCUCUAGUUCAUUUGGCGCCCCGUACGUGUAAUGCCUGAUAGUACAUAAUUAUUACCGGCAAUUGUGUCUACAACACCAUAUAUACGUCGUCCAUAGCAAAUUACAAGGAUCGAGGAAUUGAUCAACGAAGUGCGCAAAGCAAAAAAAAUCAACCAACUACGUACAGAGAGGAAAGAUGGACGGCAAUUAAUUAAUUAAUACACGGAUGCCACCGAGAGCUAGCUACGUACGUACAUAUACAGUUAUAGUACAAUACACUAGCUAGGACUUGCAACCUAAGCAUCAGUCCUUCCUUCCUUCCUUACACGCAACAGAAGAUGAAAUGCAGAGGCAGGGAGGAGCUGCUAGCUUAAUUAAUCGAAUCAGAUCUCGUAGGACAUCCCGACCUUGAGCAGCUGCGACCUGGGAAUGGCGAGCAUCUUCUCCCCCUGCCUGCAGUUCUUCCUGAGGAAGGCGUAGGCGUAGUUGACGAUGAUCUUCUUGAGCAGCGAGGAAUGCGGCCUGGCGACCACCUCGCUCUCCCCCAUGAUGUACACCACCCCUUUCUCCAUCUCCCUCUCGAUGAACCUCUGCUCCUCCUGGAUCUUGGCCAUCUCCUCUAAGCUCAUCUUCGCCGCCUGGAACAGCUGCUGGCAUGAGUUGACGCUCCCCAUAGCCGCCGCCGCCGCCAGCGGGUGCCGCCCCGACAGCUCCGAGAAGGACUCCGCCGGCGUCAUCAUCUCCUCCGCGUAGAUGGAUCUCCCUAAUAACUGCCUCUCCGUGUAAGACCCUGACGAUGGCAUGUUCAUGUUCAUUCUGCCCGUGGCGCCUGAUGACGUGGACCUUGCCCUGGCGAGCGCCAGGCUCUCCGAGUAGGACGCCGACGCCGAGAACAGGAUUACAUUGUGGUUGCUGGCGCGGCGCGUCGACGUGGCCGCCAUGCUGUCGCAGCGGGAGCUCGGGUAGCUGACCCUGGCGUCCACGUCGACGGCGACGCCGUACAGGUUCACGUCCCGGAUGUAGUACUGGAGCCGCUCCACGAGGGACGCCACGAAGUCCCUGGCCUCCUCCAGCGGGUCCCGGUACCCGUACCUCGCCACGCACCGGUACAUCCGGUGCUCCCUGUCGGAACAGGCCCCCACCUGUCGGAAGAGGAACCGUUCCGACACGUCCACGUGUGGCACGGGGAGGUGCUUGACGGAGACGAAGAGCAGCACGGCGUGGAUGGAGGGGAUCUUGUCGAUCAGGUGCGGGAACACCGGCGGGAUCCCUUGGACGAGCUCCGUGUAGAAGAGCCCCACGCCGGGCACCCUCCGUAGCCGGUCGCCGGCCCCGUCGAGGAUCUCCACCACCCUGUCCGGCGACACCGCCCGCUCGAGCUCGUACUCGUAACGCUUCACGUGCACGUAGUGCCACACCGUCAUGACCGCCAUCAGCGCCGCCGAGAUCACCACGGGGAUGUACCCGCCGUGCAAGAACUUGUAGAGCACGGAGGAGAGGUACACCGACUCGGAGGCGGCGAAGACCGAGAAGAAGACGGCCACCCACACCAGGUUCACCUUCCACACCAGCAACAUCACCACCGUCAGCAGCAGCGUGGUGAUGAGCAUGACGAGGACGACGCAGAUGCCGUGCGCCUCGCCGAUCACCACCGUGGUCUUGAACGCCACGGUGACCACGCACGCGGCGAAUGCCAGGAACAAGUUCACCUCCGGGAUGUAGAGCUGGCCCUGGUACUGUUUGGAGGUGUGCAGGAUCUUCACCCGGGGGAAGCACCCCAAGGCCUGCGAAUGCGAGAUGGUGGCGAAGGCGCAUGAGAUCAUGGCCUGGCUGCCGAUGAUGGACGCCAGGAUGGCCAGAACAAACGUCGGCCAGAAGAGGAUCUCCGGCGUGGACCGGUAGAACGUGUUGGCCACCUCUUCCGGGUACUUCCUCAAGAAGGCGGCUUGGCCGGCGUAGCAAAGGAGCACGGAAGGGACGAGGAAGAAGGCGAAGCUGAGCUGGAUGGAGCGGAUGCUGAAGUAACCCAGGUCGGCGAAGAGCGCCUCCGUGCCGGUGAAGCAGAGGAGCACGCCGCCGAGGGAGACCCAGGCGGACUUGUUGUUCCGGUGGAAGUAGUCGUAGAUGUACUUGGGGUUGAAGGCACGGAGCACGCUGAUGUCGUGCUUGAGGAGGUUGUACACGCCCACGGCGCCGAUGAGGAGCAGCCAGAGGAUGAUGAUGGGGGCGAAGAUGUAGCCCACCUUGUCCGUGCCGAACCGCUGCACCGCGAACAGCCCGAUCAGGAUCGCCACCGUCAUCCACACGAUCUGGUCUGCACAUAUAUCAUCGCACAUUCAAUUUGAUCAGUAACAUUCAACAUCACAUUCCAUCAGUAGCAUUCAAUUUGAUCAGGUUUUCUUGUGAGAUUAAUCUGUUUCACAGGAUUGAAAAAAAACAACUAUAUGUUUGCUAUAUUUGUGUACAUGCAUGCCUAUGUUUGUAAUGACGAUCACAAUUAACUAGUGCUAGUGCUAGUAUACUCCCUCCGUCUAACAAAGAUGUCUCAACUUUGACCAAAUUUGAAUGCAUUUAUACAUUGAGUCAUGUUUAGAUACAUCCAAAUUUUGACAAAUCUAAGACAUUUUUUGUUGGAGGGAGGAAGUAUGAUUAAUUGAUGGUUGGUUGAUGUUUUGACACUGCAAGAGUGUACCAUCAUUGCAUUAAUGCCUCGAGAAGAAUUGAACAUACAUGUAGAUGUGGUGAGAGUCGAUUCGACGGCUAGCUAAUAACGUAACAAGCGGUACGUGACAAGGAAGGGGAUCGAUGGCCAUGACUUUCAGGUGUGUACGCGCCUACACCUAGCUACAUCUAUCUCACACAGUACUGCACUUACCUACGUAGUGUGAACUCAGCAGAUAUGAACAGUGAGUGUUUGUUGUUGUUGGUACGAAUCACGACGUACGUACACAGAUCUGUGUCCAUCAUAUCUGUUGGAGCUAGACUUGCAUCCAUGGUCCAUAUAUAUGGAUCGGAUGGUUAUUUAAUGAGUUCAUACGGGCGGCGUCGUCAACAGAUCGAGAUAUAUGAUGAUCGAGGCUAUGCUAGCUAUUACGUAUAUAACGUAAUACGCCUGCUAGCUAAUUGCCUGGCCGUGAGAUCUCUAACUGCUGGACAGUGAUGUAUAUAUAUGUGUUCAGCAAGUCCUCGCUUCACUUAAUAAUGCCUAGAGACAUAUUACCUAGCUAGCUAUAGAGAUGGAUUAUAAUUGAUCAGCCGGCCAGAAAAAUGAAUUGAAACAGAAGAAAUUGAUUAAGGAGAACGAUUGAUGCGUACGUCGUGUAUAUAUGGAUGUUGUCUUGUUGUUUUCUUCCUUAAUGACCCUGCUUGCAUGUAAAUCACGCCACAUGAUCGACACUACUAAUCAAUUGCUGCAAGCUAGCCUAAAGAUGGUACUGUACACUAGCUAAUACAGCAAGUAGUUUAAUUAGUUUUGGGUUUUGCUAUAUAUUUAUAAGGCGACUCCGAAAUAACUAUUACAUCCGAUUAAAUCGAAAUUCGUGUAAAAUUCAUGCAAAUAGAAAAGGAUGAGAAAGUCUUAAGCAAAUAUAAUGGCUAUGAUUCUCGAUCGAGAAAUAACUAAUUCUAAAUCUCUUUUUCGGUCGGUUUUACCUGUGGUGAGGUGUGGCGCCUUCUCCUUGAGACCACCGACGGCGGAGAGGACGGAGAUGGCCGGGGUGAGGCAGGCGUCGCUGAUGACCAUGGCGGUGGCCAGGAUGGUGAGCAGGAACAGCGACACCCGCACCGGCUUGCUCGUCUCCAGGAGCUCCUUCACCCGCUGCGCCCGCAUCGCCGCCGGGGACGCCAGUUGCAGCGUCGCUAGCCCGCGCCGACGCCGGCUCAGCGACCGCUUGGGGUCUUCUUCCUCGCCGACCACGCGCAGCUCGUCCUCUGCCUGCUGGUUCGGCACCAGGCUCACCUUGGCGUGGCGAGAGAUGAGCGAGUAGAGCGCGAACGUGCCGCCUGCAGUGCAUAGUUAAGUUUUGCAGGUGAAAUUAACGGUUAAUUUUGCCAUAUCGAUCUAAGACGAGUUUCUCGGUUCAUGUUAACGACUGUCUGUCUGAUCCAAUCAAUGAGCUAGAUUCUUGCAAGAUAUAUAUGAUCGUCGACCGAGAAAUAGAUGAAGAUGAUCCGUAGGUGCAUGAACAAGCUAGAUGAGAUUAGGCCGGCCGGUAUAUAAUUAUAUAUACGUACCGUCUCCGUCGUCGUUGGCCCGGAGCGCGAUGUAGACGUACUUGACCAUGGUGAAGAGGAUGAAGCUGUAGAUGAUGAGGGAGAGCACGCCGAGGAGGUCGUCGGUGUGCCCCACGCCACCGGUGCCGGAGGUGAAGGUGCUCGAGUAGACGUAGAGCGGCGACGUGCCGAUGUCGCCGUACAGCACGCCCACGCACUGGAACGCCAGCCGCAGCGUCUUCCCCCAAUGCUCCAUCCCCGGCUGCUGCAUCCCAUGGUGGCCAUGGCCGCCCGCACGAGACGCGUCCCGGAACAGUGAGUCCUGCCGCAUCACCACCGGCAUCUCCACCGCCACCAUCUCCUGCUCAUCACCACCACCACCUAACUGCUCCCGCUGCUCAGCCAUGGAUCCUAAUUAACUUCUAAUUGGGCUGUGGAAUUGGGACAUGGGCAUGCCAAUGUAUAUAUAUGAUCAAGUAGCUAGGUUGCUGGAUGGAUCACCUGAGAGCCCUCUAGCUAGCUAGCCAUGCACCCGGCCUCUUUUUAUACAAUUAGGAGCCUCCAAACAUUAGCUAGUAGGACUAUUCUUCUUCAGUAAUACAUCGUACUGCUAGCUUUGUUGUUGAUGGCUGGCUGUAGCGAAGACCCGUAGAAUAGUACUAUGUGAACGUACAUAUGACGACCUGAAGUGGACACAUCUGGUUUCAGAUGGACGACGUUGAUACACCAACAGAUUCCGUCCUCGCAAUAUAAUGCCUGCCUGAUGAAUAUGCCUGCCUGCCAUCCAGCGCCUACGUGCUUUACUUUUGAGGUUGAGUUUCCUAGCUAGCUAGCUAGCUCCAUACAUCCAUCACACUUUGCCAAACAUUGCGUCAGCAUCCUUGCUUCAUUUCUUGGUGUCCAAAUAAAACAAAAUUUUCGAUUCCUCUUUCUUUCUUCUUUUCCUUCCUUCCAUAUCACGCGCCUACUACUCAUAGUCAUCCAUCGAUCUUAUCUACUGUCCAUUUCAACCUGCAUCGAUGGAUUUGAUCCAUUCAAACCUGCUUCUAAUUGGAUUUGAUUUGUUGUGAAUACCACCAGCUUCUAAUUGGAUUUGUGGUUGUAUCCAGUCCAGCAACAAGCUAAAGCUAGCUAUCUUACCUAAGUGGUGCCAAGUCAAGUUAGCUAGAUUUUCCAGCUCCAUCUUGAGUGACAAAAAAGCUAUUGACCUAGCUAGCUAGACUGCAAGCUAGAUCAUCAGUCUCUUGUCUUCUCCAUCCAUAUAUGUCGAUCAAUCAAUUUCGCUUCUCUUCAGUUCCCUGUACGUACCUGCCCCAGCCCACCCUUUAAAUGUACGUUUUCGCGUUUCCUGAAUUUAACCCAGCAAACUGCAUGCUCUCUUUUUCUUCUUCUUCCGUUUACACACGUAGAAAGCACCUUAUGCUUGCUUGUCUACCACAAAAAUGCUCACUACAUUAAUUCCAUUGCUUCAUAAAUAAAUCCCUAGCGCUCUCUCUCUCACCAAAUGCAGUCAUGGACCCCUAACUCAUAUAUAUAUAAGUCAGUUUCUACUGUACCUAUUACUCCAUCGGAACUAAUGGAGUAUCAGCCAUGGGACAUUACAGUCUUUUCACAUUAAAAAACAAAAAUCAGCUUUCUCUCUCUUCCUGGUUCCCGAUCUCGUCCUCCUCCGGCACCGGCCGCACUGCUCGCAGGGCCGCCCCUCUCCGGUCCCUAGCCUGACCUCCCGCCUCCUCAACCGAAGCCCCAGCAGGCAGUGCUGCAAGGGCCCCCGUUCCUCCUCCGCGUGCUCCUCUACGUCGUCGUGAGCCAGAGGCGCCGCCUCCCCGUCGCCGCGAUGGGGUCACUCCACGUCGCUCGCCAUGGCCGCCGCCGUCCUUCACUCCGCGCGCCGCCCCCUUCUUCCUCUGGCGCUGCCGCCGUCAUCCUCCGGCGCGCCGCCACCGCCCACCGCGCAGCUCGCCGUCGCGGUCCUCGCAGCGGCUGCCGCGGCCCUUCGCGCCAUGCGUCGGCAGCAUCCUCCUGCGGCACCGCCACCCUCUGCGUCGCUCGCCGCCCUCUGUUCGCGCCUUGCGGUCCGUCACCGUCCUCCGCGCAGCGCGCCCGCGCUGGCCGCCACUGUCUCGUUCGCAGCCGCCCUGUCCCAGAGCUCCACCCAGUUAGAUUUACGUACGUAACCCUGCCUAGUGAUACUCCACCCAGCUGGAGUACUGAGGAGUAACAGGUAAUCUCAGCCGUUAGAUUAAAAAAAUGAACGGGUCAAAUUAAUUCCGUGGUAUCGUAGAAGAACUCAUAUAUAAACUCCCCCAAGGAAUUAUGUAUCAUUCACUCUCAACUUUAAUAAAAAACUCAAGGGAGUAUGCCUAGAGUCUCCGCAAGCUAGGGUUUUAGUCCUAAGGACCGACGAAGUUGCUUGGACUAACGAGCGAGGAAUCGGGUUAUAGUCCGGAAGGUAUCCUUACCUCGUUAAGGCUCGGAAAGAUCUGUUCGUCAACAUAUAUAUUCUUAAUUAGCUUAUAGUCCGGAAGGUAUCCUUAAUUAGCUUAGUUUCACAUUGCAUAUGAUUAUUUUUGCAUCUUAAUUAUUGUUCCAUGUAAGGUCGAUCGGUUUGUUAGUCAAAAUGCAUAUAUAUUCUUUGUAUACUUUGUUGCCAUGAACAUUCUGCUGAACAAGGUUUUUUGUUUCGAAAAGGGGGAACGAUCCCCGGCCUCUACAUCAAUUGAUGCAGACCGCCAUGUUCUGCUGAACAAGGUGUACGGGUGCACGUGUGCGUGUAUAUACACGUAUAUAUCAGAUUAAUUAAUCAGGGUAUCAAAUUCAACUGAUCAAGCUUUUGUUGUUAAGGAGCAAGGACAGAGUGACAGACUACCAACUUAGUUAAGAAACCCCUGCGGUAACGCAUGCAUGGGUCGUAGCUAUAGCUAUAGCAGCUAGCUAGCUAGCCAGAUCCAUAUGCACCAAACACAUUAAGCAACCAAAGCGAUGACUAAUGAUCCUAUAUUUAGAAAUCUUAAACAUAGUGAGUGAUAAGUAAAAAGUAACUUAAUCUUAAUCUGGCCUUUGUGAUUCGACACUUCCUCUUCAUCUAUUUAUUAUGCAAGCGCUUUAUGCAGCUAGUGUUAGGUUAAUUAGUCGUUGUAUGGUUAGAUGUACGUAUUGGCAUACUGUUGCGAGGAAGCAAGGUUCGGGCUAGGAAUAGCGAUCAUCAUGUUCAUGCAAUCAUGCAUGCUGUAACCUGCCUCCGGCCUGUCCUGUUGAAACGUUCAUACGGCGAAAGCUACUCUUACAACAGAAAGAAUUGAAGCCAGAAACAGUCAAACUAACUAACUUGAUUCAGAAAUUAAGCAAACAUUUGUAGCUAUACGUACAUGUACAUGUCAAUUUGUCAAGUCAACCGGCCUAUAUAUAUAUAUAUAUAUAUAUAUAUAUAUAUAUAUAUAUAUAUAUAUAUAUAUAUAUAUAUAUAUAUAUGCUAGCUCGCUUGAAUAUAUAUGAACCCAGUGUUACCGUGUUACCACCAUUUUAACUGCUAGAAAAUAACAGCAACAUGCAUAUAUAUAUGUACAGAUAGAUGUAGGAGCUGCUUUCAUUAUUUCCAUCUCCAUCACAACAUGAAGCCAGAAAAAACUAACUAAAAUCACGAGAUCCCCAACAUGCAUGUCACUGUCAUUGUAGAUAUAUGUAGCUAGAUAUAUUUGUGUAUAUAGAGACUAGAGAUAUCACUCGAUGUCAUCGUGAUUGUGAUCCAAGGGGCCAGGAAAACGUGACGAUCCGGCGAUCGGGAUUAAUUACUUGUUAUCAUCGUCAAGGAAUGGUGCAUAAUCUCUCUAGGAGUACCUCUUUGCAUGCGUACAGUUCACACUAGUACCCAAAAAUAGACGCUAGACACACAAGUCCACCUUCUGAAUUAAUGCCUGCAUUUUUCAGAUAGCUCGAUGUAAUUAAAAGCUGGGGUUUAUUUGGAUGUACGCUAAGUAAGAUAUACUACGAUGUUGUUAAGCUAGCGUCUCUUGAUUAUCCGGGGAAAAAAAGUCAACUUUUCUUAUACUCGGUGAGUAGAUCUUAUUAAACAGUGUGAGAGUGAUGCUGCUGCAAAAAGUUUACACUGUAAACUACAGUCAUGUACAUACACAUCAGUAGCUAGCUAGCUAUAGCUGCAAUAUACGAGUACUUGGAAUGGGUUGACUAAUUAAGUACACAGGUAUGUAUAUAUGUAUGUACAUGUGUGUGUACACACACACACCGUAGUUGCACAGGGUGACAGGUGUCAAUUUCUCUAGCUGGCUAGCUACUUGACCUUUUUUUCCCUUCACUUGUUGUCGUUCUCUGUAAUGGAGUGAAAAGUUAAUUGCAGGCCACAGUUAAUUGCAGCCACCCACGUAUAUAUAUGCAUAAUUGAAGUAAAAGUUUACAGAUGGAUGGAUCAUCGAGAGUGCGCAAACCACAAGCAACGCACUGCCAUUUUAGAGAUGGAUGUAAAUGUAAUAGGCGGUUGACUAAUUGAAAGUAAAAGCUUUACAGAUGGAAGGUAUUUGUGCGGGAAGACAAGAGUGAGGAGGAGUAAAACAAGAGGAACCGUCUUGUAGCUAUAGCCUCUCUAGUCUUCUCUCUUCUUGAUGUUCUCCUUCUGUACUCGUUUUUAUUUUCUGCGCGAAAGUGCUUCUGUAAAUUCCAACACUUAAUUAAUUGAAUCGGCGCUGCCGUUUUCUAAAAAAAAACAAGAGGAAUCUGUAUGUAUAUUUAUUGGGAGUCACUAGGCUGAGAAAUGAAACAGUCGACCAUGGUCCAAGGAGGUCUCCGUAAUUUAAUUUCACUUCUGUUAAUGAUGUCCAGGUUUAACAUACAAUAGUAACUCCAUAUCUAGUAAAUGGCCCACAAAAAAGCAAUAAAACCAUAGCCCAAGUUAGGUGCUGUAGCUGUUUUAUUGGGCCUAUAGAAGUGCAAAAAAAGCCUACAAUCAAACGCCUAGAUAAACAAUACGAGAGAACAAAAACCACAACAACCUUGUGAGUGUAUACAGUUUUAAAAAUUGCAUGUGAAGUUUAACACGCGGUUUCAAAAAUUGCACGUCAAAUUUAAUGCGUGGUUAAAAAUUGCGUGUGAAAUUAAACGUGCCGUUUUAAAAAUUGCACGUGAAAUUUAAUGCGCCGUAUUAAAAAUUGCACUUGAAACUUAAUGCGCGGUUAAAAAUUGCACGUGAAAUUGAACGUGCCGUUUUAAAAUUUGCACGUGAAAUUUAAUGCGCCGUAUUACAAAUUGCACAUGAAACUUAAUGCGCGGUUUUAAAAAUUGCACGUGAAAUUUAAUGCCCCAUGAAAUAGGAAACAUUAUGCAACUAAAAAACUACAAUUGAAACUGGCACGCAACAAAAAAAAAUUACAAUUACAAUCGAAUAAAAUUAAGCAGAUGACCUACCAUCAACACGUCCACGCAGCGUGUCGAUCGUCCGGUCGAUGCUAAUAUCGUCGACUGAGAAAUUGUUUUUCUCGGUGAUUGAGAUCUAACAAAUCCGAUAAUAAUAAUAAUACUAAUAAUAGUAUGGUAAUUUAGGAACAAAAGAAGAAAAAACCCAUAUAAAACUAGCUAGUAGCUAAAACCACGUAAAACUAGUACUAUAUUGACCAAGUAUAAAGGAAUAUAGAUAAAAAAAAUUGCACACUCAUCAGAUGUAACCACUACCAAACACAAACACAGAGCUUUGAUUAAAAAAAAGGACACUAUUAUUCUAACCUUUUUUAAUCGGGACUAUAUUAUUCUAACCUUUUUUUAGAAUAACUAUAUUAUUCUAACCUGUUGCUUACGAACACAAAGGAAUGGCAAAAGAAUACACUCAUGACCCUGCAAAUUCUGAAAAGAAAAUCCCACCAGCAUUAUCAAGCCCAACACACACCCAGUGGCCCACCAAAAAUCAGAACACACACCAUCUCACACCCGCACACCCCUGGCCCAAGAAAAAUGCUAACUGUUAUGGCCUUUUUAUCAAGAAAACAGAAAACACACGCACGAUCUUAGCAUGGAAAUCCAACCAUGAAAUAUUGUUUCUGAGUCGCGCCUGAGCACUAGCAAUUCCGAUAUUUAUUCGCUGCCUUGCCUGCAAGUUAGUUGCCUCACGUCAAGGCCUCUAUGUGAAGAGGAGAAAAGGCCCAUCACAGCCCAUUACAUGUGAGACCUCUUGUAGAUACCAGAAAGGCCCAGCCCAUCCGAGCCCAUUACAUCGUUAUCCGGCCUCUUCUUCUUCUGUUACUGUCGCCUCCGGCGACGGCGACGGCGACGGCGAGGAGAUGGCGACGGAGAAGGCGCGGCAGCUCCUGGCCCGCCUCGCCGUCACCCCGGACGCCGCCGUCCCCGACCUCCCCUUCCUCCACCGCGCGCUCCUCCUCCCGCUCCUCUCCGCAGCCUCCGUCCUCCUCCGCCUCUCCGUCCACUCCCCGCUACGCCCACGCCUGCGCCAAGCGCUCCUCCCCGUCCCCGUCGUCAGCGUCGGCAAUCUCACCUGGGGAGGCAACGGGAAGACGCCCAUGGUCGACUUCCUCGCGCGCAGCUUCCACGCCAUGGCCAUCUCGCCGCUCGUCCUAACAAGGGUUCUCCUGAAUGCUCCCCCUAAUGCUCCUUGCUUCAUUGCAUAUUAUCUCCCUUGCAUAUUUAGUUUAGAUACAUUUUGUUCCAAACCUUCAAGUAGUUGUAUUUCUCGUGGUUCAAACAUAGCAGUCAAUGUUAUUGCUGUAGGGUUAUGCUGGUGGCGAUGAAUCCAAGAUGCUCCGGAGGCGCCUUGCUGAUACUUCCGCCAAGAUUGGGGUUGGUGCAAAUAGGGCUGCUGUGGCUUCUUCCAUGCUGCAAAAGUAUGGCUAUGUCCACCCUUGCGAGGCGUUCCACCCGGAGAAGCUUCCGUCAGCGUGCAACCGGGCUGUGAUCGACAAAAGUGCCAAGAUUGGAGUGGCCAUACUGGACGAUGGAAUGCAGGUAUCAAGUAUUUGGGUGUUUUCUUUUAUAGACAACCUAUAUGUAUCAGUACCUUGGUUUAUGCGAUGUUUCUUUGAAAUGAAUGACACAUAGUGGCCAAGCAUAUUUGUUCCUUCAGGAAACACAUAAGAAUAUGCAUGUAUUCUCAGUUCUCUCUCGUUCGUUGUAGGCAGCACCGGAGUUUGCUUCGAGAUGUGGAGAUCGUGAUGGUCAAUGGGCUGACACCUUGGGGAAACACUCAUUUCAUUCCACGAGGACCCAUGAGGGAACCGUUGAGCGCGCUUACUCGAGCUGAUAUAGUGGUUAUUCAUAAUGCAGAUCUGGUAAGCCAUAGUCUCAGUGGUCCACAAUUUGUUAUUACCUUUUUACCUGGCUGAAUAUUAAUUCUUUAGCGGCUGAUAUCGUUCUUGACACGAGACAUUGAAAUUGUGCUGUUCAAGUAAACAAGCGUAAUUUUAAGAUGCCACAUAAAAAAUAUUUUAUGGCAUUCAUAUGAUUGUAAGUAGUUAAAACAUAGAAGUAAAAUUGAUCCAAGGUGCAUUCUUACUUUCCCUCAUUGUGAACUGAACUUCCAUCUGACAAACAGUGUCGGCCUUUAGUGCACUCUGCACUGAAAGAAAUGAGAGAUGCAGGUAUUUAUUUUACCUUAAGCAGAUGAAUAGUUGCAUCGAUUGUUCUCUGAAUUACCAUUUGCUACUGCACAGGCUUGUGAAGUGCAACUGGAAACAAUUCAAUCUACAGUCCAGGAUAGUGGUGCGACAUGUCCAGUGUUCUUUAGUAAAUUGUCUCCAUCUCAUAUUUUCGAGGUUAAUCAACCAUGGCAGAGACUGCCUCUUAAUGUGUUGGAUGGCACGAUCGUGCUAUGUAUCUCUGCAAUUGGCUGCCCGGAUGCUUUCAUACAUACAGUUAGAGAGGUACAUUUUCUCCUUACAUUUUUCUUUGUCUAGUCUGCUCUGCUUUACCUGUCUUAAGAAUGGAAUGCUGCCUGUUGUAAUCCUAUUCAUUUUGGAAAAACAAUAUUGGCAUUUAUAGCAGUUUAUUGCUAGUAUGCUUUGCUUCUUAUCUAUCAAAAACCUAAUAAAUGCGUCAUAGAUGUCCAACUCAAAAAUGUAAUUUGAAUAUCAUGUUUUCAAGUUUUCAUGUUAAGUCUUAAGAUGUUACUGUAUAUUUUAUUCCCUUCAUGCCUACCUCACACCAGUCUCUGUCGACAACUGAACAAGACCUAAUUGGAGACCAAGGUGGUCAGCCAGAGAAACAACAGUCAAAUAACACGACAUUUACAAUCGAUAAAAUUUAAAAAAAAACUGAAAAAUAUUUGUUAUUUCACUACAUCAUUUCCAAAUAGGGUGAUUUCAGGUACCGAUAGAUGGUUGUCAACUGGGUUGUAAUUAGUUUACAAAAAACAACGCAGACUUUACAACUAACAGACACAAAAUAUUUCAAAAACUGUUAUCAAUAUCGACAGGGAGUCACAUUCUUACCUGAACAGUCAGCUAAGCCUCGCUGCCAGGAAAUCAUGCUAAUAAUCCUGUACUUAUUGUCUGCUGUAGAUUGGUCCACUCAAGAUUGAUAGGCUGGAUUUCAGUGAUCACCAUUUCUUCCAUGAUCAUGUAAGUAUCUGCUACACAUCUCUUCCUUUUCUCUUUUCAUGUUCAUUAGGAAUUUUCUAUAUCAAAAAAUCAUGUUACAGGUACUUUUAAAAUAAUAAUUAUACGUGUCCAGUGUCAGUGUGUGCAUGGUGUCUGGCUUCCUAUUGGGACUGUAAUGUAAUAUGUAGUAAUAUUUCCGAGACUAACGCAAUGAGUCACUCCCAUUUUUAGCCCAGACAGUAGUCUAGCUGUUGCAAUACCGCAUUUGUAGUUCCUUUUACUAUAUGUUUCUUUGUCAUUCAUUACAAGAUGAUUACUAUUUGUUGUUUAUCUACUAUAGGACCUGAAAUUAAUCCAAGAAAGAGUGAGGAAGCUUGUUGAUCAACAUAACAAAGAGACCAUCGUCAUAGUUACGGAGAAGGUAUGGCCACCUUAAAAUUUCUCGCCUACAUUUUCUUUUUCAUAAUUAAACUACUUACUUUGUCCUUUCUUUUCUCUACUUGUGUCAGGAUUACGACCGUGAUCCAGAUGCCCUUAGGAUGUUAGACGUAAAGGUUUGGGUUCUGUCUUCUUCUUUGCAAAUUAUGCCCCUCAAGGAACAAAGAGAAGAUGAAUUUAUGAGGAAAGUGAAGGACAUUAUUACAACUAGGCAUGGAAAAUCACAUAGGGAGAGAGCCCAUCUAUGAGGUGCUGAUCAUUUGGCAGGGGCGAAGCUAGAAAGGCAGAGCACUAGGUUCAGUUCAAGACAGAUGGUGUCAUACGGCUGAAAAUAUCUUGAAGCAAAACAGUUUUGUCAUUAAGAACUGUUACUUCCAUACCAUGUUGUAUUAGCGUUGAUUGGUUAAUUCAAAUCCUGUUUAUUUUCCAGAACACACACCAUUUUAGUGGGAGUUUUAUUCAACUGGGUCAGUGAUCUGAACCUCCGUUUAACCUGAACUGGAUCUGGAUCCGACAGGAUCAUGAGAAGGUGCCCCUCUUCUGUUGUCCAUAUAUAGCUUUCAGUUCCCAGUUUUCUCUUGGAAAAAGUUGGUAGGUAAAUGUAUCCAUCAAUACCAACCUGCCUAUGUAUAUCCACUUUGACAUAUGGUUAUUACAAUAUUCCUACUCUAACCCACAACUACUAAUUACUAGCCAUCUCUUGGGGAGAAAUUCUUUAAUGUGCAUUACGUUGUUUGUCAUUGGUGAUGGACAGCAUACCAAUCAUGCAUCUCCUUGGUCCUUGCUAUGCAUACAUGUUUUAUCUGUCCUAUAAUUUUAAGACAGGGAGAGAAGCAACCUAAUUAUUUACAUAAGGAAUUAAAAGGGAAUAAAAGGAAUGCUUCUCUUCAAAGGGCAAACAGAUGCAUGCAUGCAGCAUGAUGCAUGGAUUAUCAACAAUUGGUUGAUUAGCUAUACCCCGGCCAUGCAUUAGGGUUUCACCUAACCAAAUAAUGAAAGAGGAAAGGAAUGACAGUAUGAUUGCACAUGUACACACAUAGAAAACAACAAUAUUCUGCUGGCAGGCAGGGAAUUGAGCUAAGCUAGACAUGUACUGGCUACUGAUGUACAGCCCGGCUGUAGCCUGUAGGCAAAGUGUACAUGUGCUGGCUAGGUGCAGAUUGAAGUAUAUCUGUACUGCUGCACUGUUCAGUUGUACAUACUGCAGGAGAUUAAUAAACGAUGGAUGGAGUACAGAUUUACAGUCAGCACUCAGCAGCACGUAUAAUAUAAUGCAUGUGCUUCUUCGUAUAUGUGCUGCUCCUGUACUACAUGUUGCAGCUUAGCUGCUGGAAUAUGUGUCAGUACUGGUGGCAUAUAUUGCGAGUGGGUGUAGUAUUAUUAUAGCUGCAUGCAUGUCAGUGUCUACACCCACCUGGUCUUUGCUUUUGUACACACAUAUGUGUACCCUUUUUUUAUCUUUCACAUUAUAUGUUGUCCUCUACUACAUUAAUUCUCAAGUACUAUACAUACAUACAUACAUGUGUUAUGGAUAAGAGAGAGUAACAAUAAUUGAGUAGUGCUUAGUUGCCUAGUACUCCCUCCGUUAAGAUAUUCUAGCUUUGUCAUAAGUCAGAUUUACAAAGAGGUAGUAAAUAUUAACUGUACGUAAAUAUAUAUCCAUCUUUUUCUGUUAUAUGUCGACCUAAUCUUAACUUGAUUUAAUACAGUGUAUAGGGAGAAAAAUCUUCUGUCUGUUUUCUGCAAUGUUUGUACCCUACAUAGGCAAGAGUGUGUGUAUAAGACAAGAUUAGAUGAUCACUUUGCCCUAUCUACUGUCUGCUUGUGACCUGACUUGAAAGAAGAAGCAACCCAGCUUGCUCAUGGUUGAAGAGGAAAACACCAAUGUAUGACAGGCUAUAGUUGAGGCAUCACGAGGCAGCCAGAAAUAAAUUAUGUGGAGAUUUUGGUUCUAGUGAAAUCGAAUAUGCAGUCUCACUACAUAGAUUAGCCAGGAACUUAAUUUACUUUAAACACGAUGAACUGUGUGCCGUACCCUCUGGUAGUGCAAUAUAUCUAGCUAUAUCCUCUCUCCGACGAACAUGUAUACGAGCUCUACUAAUUAUUCUGCAUAUAGUUUGAAAUGAUUUUUUGGAACAGUUUAAUUGUUGAGGAAGCAUGAAGUUGAGAUUAUUUGGAACUACAUGUAUGUUUUUCCAACUAAUUAACUAAUUUCAGUCCCCAAUCCAUGUUAAUAUCCUAGCUAGCAACUAUUUCUUGACCAAUUGAGCAUCCUGCAUAUUCAUCGGUACAAUUAUAUAUGUAGGAAUGUAUCCAUGGGAUCAAUAGAUAAUUUUUUCCAAGAGAUCACCAUUUGAGAGAAUUGACAAAAAGUACGGCCUAUUUGGACAGAUGAGCAAACUGAUAAGAAGAUCACAAACUUUGAACUUAGACAAGGAUAAAAAACCUUCUAACUAAUCCGAUCAUAAUCAAAUUAACAUAAGUAUGCGGUGUAUUUUGGGAUUUUAUGUGGAACUCUAUACAGAUUUCAUUCCAACAACUGACGACAUGCAAUCUUUUACAACAAUUAGGGUACAAAUUGUAACAUGACUUGAGAUGUUGAGCUUUUGUAGAGUAAUUUGAUCGGCAUAUACACACAUGUAUAUAAGAAACAAACAAUAACCCUUUGGCCUAAUUAAGAUACAAUUAUUUUGAUCGAUUCACUCGGGAGCAAUCACAAAGAAUUAACCACAAACAAAAUAAGAAGAGACCGACUGAGGGGAAACGGAGAUCGAAGCGGCGGGAGCAUGAACACACGCAUACAUAUGUUGACAAGAUGGAGUUGGGAAGUGCAAAAUCAGGAAAUCAAUUCAUGCAAUUUUGGGGAUAGUACUAUAAACUAGCUAGUCCCAAGCCUAAGCUCCAGAUCCACUUCUUGCCGGCCUAGUGCAAGAUGGAGAGGGCUAGGGCUUGAGACCAUCACUUUGGGUACCUUUGCAUGACCAUGGUGAUCAGCUUCCUCUCUUUCGCAUGGCAUGGGCGACCGCCGCCGCACGAAGAACGGGAGAGCCACCAUCGCUGGCGGCUGCUGAUCGACGCGCCUCCGCUUCCUGCAGAUCCUCUCCUCAUCGGUGCUUUGAUCUAGCCUUGCCGUGGCAUCAAAUACAGGCAUGGAGAGGAACACCUUGGUGUUGCUGUUGUUGUUGCUGAUGAUGAUCUCCUUGUCGGCAGCAGAAAGGAUGGUUGAUAUGUAGGAAUUAUUAGGAGAAGCACGAGUCGUCGUCACGGUCGCCGGCUGUGGAGACUUAGGGCUGGGGAUGGUGAGUUGUUGUUGAUGAUGAUGGAGAUCAUCCGGCGCCGGUGCCGGCGGUGAGGCGCACUGCCGGAGCCGGGCACGGUCGCGGCGGUGCACGUUCAUGUGGCCGCCCAGCGCCUGCGCCGACCGGAACUCUCGCCGGCAGAAGGUGCACGUGUAGGACCGUGGCGGCCACACACAACCAACGUCUCUUGCGAAGGCCUGCUCCUCCCAUGACGGCGCCUCAGCCGCCGCAGGGAAGCUGGAUCUCACCAGGGUCGUCGUGGUCGUCGUCGUAGUAGUACUUGCGCCGCCACCGCCGCCGCCCCACAUACCGGCCCAGUAGUAGUUGGCAGCCAUCUUUUGCUAGCUCGAGUGCUCGAUCGAUGAUGUGAAAGUAUUUGGGUGUGUUGCUCUUGUUCAUGCCAUGGCCAUGGGAGCUAGCUUGCUGCUGGAGCUAAUUAGCUCUGAUGUGCAGCUAGCUGCACGGUUGGUACAAGACUAGACGGGGACUGGUAGUAGAUGGCCUAUGGGGUACUAGUAGUGCAUGCCAAGUUAAGAUGUAAGAAGAUGUGAUCUGUGUACGUUUUUGUUGUUUGCGUUUAUAUGUAUUAUGUAUGGAGUACUACUUGAGUAGCUAUAGCUAGUAUCUAGCUUAGCUAGGAUGCAUGAUUGGUACCAUAUGGAAUGUGGGAUACUUCCUCAGUUCCUCUACUUCUUCACAAGUGUUUUUGACUAGUGAUCACUAACUUCUGUUAUAAAAUUAACCCAAUAAUAUUAUGAUACUACAUAUAUAUACAUGAAAGUAUUAUUUGAGAUCACUACAUACGUUGUUGCUAAUUAGUAUUAGUUCAAUCUUAUUAAUUUUUAAAUUAAAGAUCGACAUCGAUAGCUGAUGUUUAAAAGUUUGACCAGACCUUGUACCUAAAUUACACCAUAUAUAGCUUGCUUCUCUGUGAACUCUACGGUGCAAAAUUAAUAACCUAAUUGUAGUGUGUUUUGUUAAUUCAAACAACAAACUCAGCUCUUAUGGAUGCUAGUUAGUGUGAACAUGACUGAUGUAGAGUUAGAAUACAUUAUCGACCUUUAAUUUGGAUUCUUGCUCAAUUUGCCUAAUAAUUGCACUGUCCUUGUUUAUUUCUUCUUAAUUUUUGUACUAAUUCACUAGCUGUUGUGAAAGAUGCAGUCAGACUCUCCCGUCAAAAGAAUUAAACAAACAUAUGUAGUCUUGUUUUUUACUACAUAUAUUUAUAAUGAUCAUGGUAUUAUUAACAUAUAUCCAUAGAAACUUAACUGGGUUCAACCUCCUUUUCGGAAAAAAGAAACUUAAUUGGGCGCAUGCAUGUUAAUGUACACAUCGAUCUGGUUUCUUCAUAUUUUGCUUACAAAAUGAUCCCACAUAUAUAGGCUAAUGAUAGUUAGUAACAAGCUAGUUAACGGGGACGGAGCCAGCCUCGAGGUUGCCCACCCUUAAACAAGAUUUACUAAUGAUUUGUUGUCAUUGUUAAGAAUAUUCACGAAUGUUUUUUUUUCCACUUAGAACUGCCCUAUCUAGAUUGGCCUCUGACUAGUGCUAUGGUUGGUCUUGUGCAGACGCCAAAAAUAAUCUAUGAGGAUAAUGAUGCUUGUGUUGCACGAGUACAAACGGGUUAUGUGGCAAAAUCACGAUCGAAAUCUAAAGUUGCGGAGGCCGGGACCAGGCCAGCCCUAGCCCUGGCCCCCCUAUGAUUUCGAAUUUCUACUUAAAUCCCUGUAUAAUUUUUGCAAUUUCAUCCUAUGAGCUUCAUAUUCUUAUGUUUUGGCCCUCCCUAAUAAAUCAUCCUUCUAUCUUGGUCCUCCAUAUAUUAUAUAAUUAUAUUCAUGCCUCCGCCCCUGGAAAUAUAUAAACUCCAAGUUUUUCUUCAUAAAAGCAGACUCAACCAUGCAUUAAUACUUGUGGAAUAUUUUCAGAUUUCCUUUUACACUUUAAGUUGCCGCGUCCAUAUGCAUAUUGGCCACUGAUCCUUGUACGUUUGAUAAACCCUAGAAGAGUACUCUUGAAGAAAAUUAAGCUAAAAAUAUUUCUAAGAGUGGGAAAAGCAAUACACAACUGGCACGGCAUCAACGUACAGUGGCGUCUCCGUACAUAUAUAGACCAGGUCAGUUUACUGACUGUCAAAGUUGUUGAACAUCUAGUUUGACUGUCGAAUCUUAGUGUGUUUGACGGUCGAGUAAAUGAAUUGACUAAUAAAUUAGUCUGGCCGGCCGGCAAUGACUCAGCUGACAUGUACACAUGCAUCAAGUAGUAAUUAACUAAGCAAGGGGAAUUAAAUCAAGAAUGAAGAAAAGCAAAUGCAUGGUAUAUAUGCACUAGCUAGGGUACUAAAGAUCCGGCUCAUGACACACUGACACACAUGCAUCAAGCAAUUAACUAAGCAAGGGGAAUAAAUCAAGAAUGAACAGAAGAAUAAUGAUAUAGUAUUAAGCACUAGGGGUACUACUAAAGAAUAUGUGUGUUAACUUGCACUACUCAACAACCACUUUUUGGCCUGUGAUUUGUCUUUGCUCUUGUUCCAUCGAUAGAUGCAAACAUUAUUAUAUGCCUUAAGCGACGUCACUGAUCUCCGACCGGUACGUCCACACAUAUAUCCAGAUGACAGAUUAGUCUCUCGUGUCAUAAUUAAUAAAGUUGAUGCUUGUGUGAUUCCCUUUGUGUGCCCUCGUGAUCUUUGUCUUCUUUUAGUUCCUCAUUAUCUUACUCCCCACUCGCAUGUGCAGCCCCUUUCGUCUAUAAUCAUUGCUAGCUUGGUCGAUCGAUCGAUCAUAUUCACUUGCAGCUGGGUUUAAUUCGUUGAUGUUAAUUAGACCAAAGGAUCGAUGCUGAUCGCUUGCUAAUCGAGAUGUUUCAAGACAACGCUUUAAGAAGAGAACGACGACGUCGGCUGUUCGGUCCAUCGGAGUCCAGAUGGAUGUUUAAUUUCAUCCUAAAGUCGAAGGUUCAAUUUAGACAAUUAAGUGGAACCAGUAAACUAAACUAAAAGGACUAGCCUUUUUCUCUCAAUAAUUUGCAUUGUUUGGCAACUAGUACAAGUAAUUAAGUGCGACUAUCUUUUCGAUCGACAUAUCGAUCGCUAGCUGCUGGGAUGCAUGAUAAGAACUUUGCAGCAUCCAUCUGUCAUAUCGAUCCAAAGAUCUCUCUCGUUACAACAAGUAUAUAUAUUUCAUUUCAUCAAUCGAUCAAUCGGGGGGCCCGGCUGGCUGCUGGGGCAGCGAAAAAGAUUCUUGUGUUGCUGUCUCUACCGCUAACGCUGCCGUUUUAAUAUACAUUAAGCAAAUUUAUUAGAGUGUCAUAAGAUUUAGAGAGGAUUCCCUGCCUGGCACUGCAUACCCCUCUGGUUUUGAGUUUACUCAACGAUUUUUUUCCUCUUAAUAUUGUUUGUUUCAUCAAUUAACGGAGAACGCGGUGAAGUCAAAUAAAAGGCGACGGUGUGCUUCAAUAGUACAAAAAAAAUAAUGUUUCUACCCGAACAUCUGUUUCUAGAUUCUCAAGGCAACAAAAUUAUGAUAUUGCAUCCAUUUUUGUGUCAAAUACUCCCUUAUUUUUAUAAUCUAAGGCAUAUAUUUACGGUUUCAUUAAGACAAGACUUUGAUUAAGAGUUACUUUGUUAACAUGCGUACGUACAUUGAAAUUGGUAUCACGAGAUUCGUCUCUAGGAAUGCUUACUGGCAAUUGAGUUUGUGAAUCAUGUAAAUCACGUAUUAAUGGAGUAAUUCUUGAUCAAAAUCUAGUCUUAACGGAACCUAGUUAGUACUACGUACGUACAUCUUAAAUUAUGAAAAGGAUAGAGGGAAUUACUGUACACUCUUAGGACGGCAUAAGGAGAAAAUUAGCGCUAUACUGACCGGUGAUUAACGGAAUGGUCAGAGUAGAAUCAAAACCUCAAAAAUGGAAGAGGAGGGAAUAUAUGUACUUCCAUAAUUAAUUAGUUUGCACGUGCAGUGCAGCAGUAUUUGUACAUGUAAGAUUGAAAGCAUCAUCAAAGUAGGGACCAGAUUUCUAUGUACGCUUGGAUUAAUUCGUGUAAGGCUGUGGAUCGUCGGAUCAAGAGUCUCGGAUCAACGCGCGCGUAUAUAUACAAGCAUAAAAUAAAUGGCCAGUACAUAUGUUGCAUAAAUGGCCAAUAUGUUUAUUUAUUUCAUGGUACUAUACAUCAUAUAUCUAGCUAGCCAGCUACAGUGCAAGGGUUUGAUCGUCCAAGAUGCAUGAAUUAUUGUGCAGCAGUGUACAUACGGAAUAACAAGAGCAAGACGCUACAGGUCGUCGUUCCGGCCUGGGUAUGAUCAGAUCCUUAUUUUCUCCCAAGCAAUCGAUGGAUGGAUGGAAGGGGAGCUAGAUACAUGCAUAUAUGUACGCACCUUAUUUCCCCAUUUCUUGUCAAUUACGUACAUGCUUGCAUCCGUAUGCGCAUGACAAUGACAGUGUAUAUAAUUUUGGUCGAAUUUUCCCUGCCACGAAUCAUGUAAUUUCUGUUUUCUUGUAGACAAGACCUUUUGCAUCGAUCGAUGGAUAUAUCUCAAAAUAAUGUAUGAAGCAAUAAAUUAAACCCCAAAUAUAUAAGUCACACGUAAUGCGACACGUGUAUGUGUACUAUAUAUGACAGCUGACACUUGCAAAUUAAUGAUGCAUAUAUGGGGCCGUGAUCCAAUGCUUCCUAAGGAGGACCAUCUGCCCGGUCUCUUGACUAUCUCCAAACGGAGAAAAUGGCAAUAUUCUCUUGAUAAUUAAUUAAGAUGGUGUCAUCAUAUACCGGUGAAAAGAAAAUAUAUUCGUUCCGUCCCAUAAUUCUUGUCGAAAUAUUACAUGUAUCCGUCUUUUAGGAAUAAAUACAUUCAUUUUUUGAAAAAUUUGAAACAAGAAUUAUGAUAUAGAGAGAGUAUGAUGUUAUCAUACCUUUGCUGAAGAUAAAAGGUUAACUUGUUCUCUUUUCUCUCUCCUUGCCACUUCUAUGGCCUCUUAUGCAUUUUUUUUCUUUUGAGUAAUCACCAUAUGAAUAUAUAGAACUCAAAGAAUGGUCCCGAUACUAGUACCGAAUUAUAUGCAGAUAGAUAUAUAGUUCCGGCAACUUUGGGAAACAACAUGAGGGGGCAAAUUUUGGUCCAACCUUCUGCCAUAACCAAUGCAUAUCAAGAUGGAUGGGAACAACAUAUACUCAUUCCAUCCCGAAAUAAAUGACGUGGAUUUGUAUAUAUAAAUCGGGGGACACGCAUGCAUGUUCAUUUUUGUAGCCUUGCGUAGCGGUGAAAUUAAAAUGAAACAAUUAAAUGAAGCCUGGACCAAAUUAUGAGUUUGAUGCAUGUGUCUCCAUGCAAUUAGAAUGGAACAAGCGAGUAGAGUGAAGUUGCUCGAUCCCAAAGAACAAGACGCACGCAUGUUGCUUAAAGAAGAGCUAGCAAUGCAUGCAAAUCGAUCGAUCAUAGUGGGGACUAAUACGUACGUGUACUCCAGUGAGUCUAGCUUAGCUUAUCGUGCAUUGCAUUGCAUUUCAUUGCAUGUCGGGCAAUUUGGGGUUUCAUCAAAACGAAAAGAAACAAACAAACAAACAAACAUUAAUGAUUAUGAUACCUAGACAGGGAUGAGUACAUCGUUUAUUGGAGCGUAUAUAUUCAGACAGACAGUGUCAGUGUGUUCCGUGCAUGUUUCCGAAUACUACAUCCAGAUAGCUGCUGGUUUAUAGCUCUAGAUCAAUGGCAUUUCCAGAUCUUGCCUACGCCUAAGCUACAUCUAUCCAUCACUUAUAUAUCUUGCAUCAAGUUUAAAUUACUCCGUAAAAUCCGUACAAUAUCUCGGUAGUACUAUAACAUAGGUUGCUUUUUCAUUGUAAACCUUCAACUAAUGUGUGUUAAUUGUGUUCCGAGGUUAUAAUAUGGAGUUUUGUGCCAGGGUGAGGCAACUAUGUUUGUGAGCCAGCCUGCCAUUCCUGGAAGUGUUUGGGCCGGCCCAGAACAGUUUACCGUCCUAUUUAUUUCUUGAUGUUAUAUAUGGUUUGGGCCUAAAUCCUUCCACCUUGCUGCAUCCGCUGCUGACAAAAACUGUAUAGUCUUCAUAAUAAAUGACAAGAAUGCCGAGAUUUCUCAUACUUAAACCGAGUCGAUGUUGUAAAUGACAACUCGCUUUUGUAAAUGACAAGAAUUCACAUACUUAAACCGAGUCGAUUUUGCAACCGAUCAUGGAAGGCUCAUGACCGUUGUGCUUCGUCGGUACCAUAUGGAAAUAGACCUCCAAAAACUUUAUUCCAUCACAAUUAAAGCUGAUAAAAAAUUGAUGUGAUUUCUUGACAUAUUGUAAUUACACUAGGCCCGGGUGUCAUCGGUGCAAUUUUUUUACCUCCUACUUAAUAUGGCAACACCGCAAUAAUGUUGAAUACAUGAGGCUAGGAAGGCCGAAACUUCGAGGAGCCAAGAACAAUCCGCUGAUCAAGCGGUGACCUGCUUGACAUCGUAAAAAUUGUGAGCUAAGGCGUAGGAAAGUGGUUAAGACGGCGAGAUUUUGUGAUGUCUUGUAAUUAGUAGGCAUGUAAGCAUCAUCCACUGGUCUUGUUUACUGUAAAAUUGUAAAGAUACCCAAAACCUAUCCUAUCCCCAUAAAAUCAACCACAUCAGAAAAGGUUUUGCAAUAAGUUGUAAUAGGCACGCGUGGUCGGGUGGUGAACGCAUGUAGAAGCCACCCAAAAGACGUGAGCUAUAGCUCACAAAGACAACCUAAAUAGCGAGAUUUUGCAAUGUGCCAAAAUAAACCUGUGACAAUUGGAUCACGCGGACGAAAAAUUAUUGAGAUGACCCAAAACCGUGGUGUAUGCCCUAGAGAAACCGACAAGAGGGAUUAUUUCUCGAUGUGAUUAAUACGCCGGCCAGCGUGAUCCACUGAAUGCAUGCCACGAAUGACAAGAAUGUUUAAAAACCUACAAUCAUGUGUUAUGUACUAACUCCAUUCCAUAAUUCUUAUCGAAAUCUUACAUGUAUUUAGACAUUUUUCAGAAAUAAAAACAUCCGUUUUUUUAGCAAAUUUGAGACAAAAAUUAUGAAACAGAAGGAGUACAAAAUAAUCAUGACGAAUACUUUUGCUACUAUCCGAUAUGUCAACAACAAAACAAAGUAAGUUACUUGUAUAGUUGGAUUUUGAUUUUCCACACGGAAACAGAAAUGGCACCGAAUAAUAAGUAAUAACCCAUUCUAGAAGAAUUUGAACACUUUACCAAUCGAUCCCUGGAUAAGAAGAGAGAGCCUAGUCCUCUCCCUUUCCCCUCCCUUCCCUAGUCGUCAUCCUCGUCGACGGGCUGCCUCACCGGAGUCAGGCGGCGCGGGCGCGGCUCCCCUCUCCUCUCUCCUCCGUGCCGCCGCAGCCAGCCGCCAACAAUACCAAGCGUAAUCUACUCCCCUGCCCGAACCCCCCUCGCUCCCCCACCCAAAUCCUCUCUAUUAACCUAAUCUCGCCUGCCUAGGGUUUGCGCGAAUGGCGGCGGUGCCGCGGCCGUCGUGGUCGCGCUCGGUCAGCGAGACGGUGCGGGGGUCGCACCAGUACACCGUCAAGGGCUUCUCCCUCGCCAAGGGCAUCGGUCCCGGCCGCCACCUCGCCAGCGACACCUUCGCCGUCGGCGGCUACGACUGGGCCGUCUACCUCUACCCCGACGGCAAGAACCCCGAGGACAACGCCAGCUACGUCUCCGUCUUCGUCGCCCUCGCCUCCGAGGGCACCGACGUCCGCGCCCUCUUCGAGCUCACCCUCCUCGACCAGUCCGGCCGCGCACGCCACAAGGUCCACUCCCACUUCGACCGCUCCAUGCAGGCCGGACCGUACACCCUCAAGUACAGGGGAUCCAUGUGGUAAAUUUUUACCCCUCCAAUUGCAUUUGCCUUGUUCCUCCUAGGUUUUGCUUAACGGAUACUGCUUCGCAUUUCUAGUUCUAGGUUGAUUGGGCCUUGUGAAUGAUCACCAGCUAGGCAAAAUACUGAAGAAGGUUAUCACCAUUUGAAUAAAUGUAGCUGUGACUUAUGUAUUUGUUGGGCGAUAUUGCAUAAUCCCUGGGGUAAGAAACCAAGAAUUGCUGGUUCUGAUUGCCAUAGUCUUAGGUAGGAAAUAGUCGAUUGGAAUUGUGUUUCAAAUGAUGCAACUGAGGUUCAUUAACGGAACCUAAUGUGCUCUUCCCGCCUAGGCAUCUUUCCUUUCCUGAGUACCUGCAUUCUUUGUUUCCAUUUCGUAACGGUAGCUAACAGUGGUUUAUUCUUUCUAGGGGUUACAAGAGGUUCUACAGAAGGUCACAGUUAGAAACAUCAGAUUUUCUAAAGAACGAUUGCCUAGUAAUGAACUGCACAGUAGGUGUUGUCAAGACUCGGCUCGAAACACCAAAGAACAUCCAGAUUAACGUUCCUCCAUCUGACAUCGGCCGUUGCUUCAAGGAGCUCCUCAGACUCCGCAUUGGCUGUGACAUAACAUUUGAAGUAGGUGACGAGAAGGUCCAGGCACAUAAAUGGAUUCUUGCUGCUCGUUCCCCAGUAUUCAAAGCCCAAUUCUUUGGACCAAUUGGUAAAGCUGACUUGGACAGAGUUGUUGUGGAGGAUGUUGAACCUAUCGUCUUCAAGGUACUGCUCACACGCAGACCAUGCCGCUUCUCGUUAUGUUUUUGUUGGGUUUCCUAGUAUACAUCCUUUUCAUUUAUGCUUUUGAGGUAUGAGGCAAUGUUUUUCCCUAUAAACUUUCUCUUGUAUAUGUAUGCUUGCUUUUCCUCUUGAUCAAAAGAUGUGCAAAGUUCUGUUUGCACAUUUGCUUGAAAAAUAACUUAUAUUUUUAUUCCUUUUACUCCUUGAGACACGUAUAGGUGCAGUUGUAAUUUAAUUCCCAGCAUAAUAUAUAAGUUAAUCCCCAUAAAGCAAGCAUGUUUGGUCUUGUCACAUAUGAACAAUCUAGUUCAGGUUUUGUGUUAGAACCAAUUUGGGUCCCAUUUUUUAUAUUAAAAUUUGUGCCAGCUUGCCUAAGUUUUUACCUUCCUUUGAAAACAAAGAAGGAAACCCUUGCAUGCAGUUAGCGUGCUAUUUAUUCAAAGUACCCUCUUAUGGUAAUGUUAUAACUUCCCUUCCAAUGCAGGCAAUGGUGAAUUUCAUAUACUCUGAUGAGCUUCCUAGUAUUCAUGAACUAGCUGGAUCUUUCUCAAUGUGGACAUCAACUGCAGUUAUACAGCAUUUGUUGGCAGCAGCUGAUAGAUAUGGAUUGGACCGGCUACGAAUACUAUGUGAGGCACAGUUAUGUGAUGGGCUUACUGCUGAAACAGUUGCGACAACCUUAGCCCUGGCUGAACAGCAUCAUUGUGCUCAGCUCAAGUCAGCCUGCUUAAAGUUUACUGCUGUCCGAGAAAAUCUUGGAGGUAUGCUUUGUUCUCUGGAAUAUUUGUACACCAUUUUGUUCAUAGAAGACAAUGCUAUUUGUCUUUUGUUUAUCAAUAUUUCAAAGCAUUGGAGUAUUUUCUUAGAAGUUUUAGCAUAACUAGAUCUAAAUUAUGUGGAGUAUUUCCUUCUUUGUGCUAUUGUGAGAUAAACCACUUGUUUUUAGGUAUUUGGAAAUGGCAGUUAGAGUGGUGAUAAAAUAGCUAUGAUACAUGUCAUAUCCAUUUGUUUCAUUUAAAUUAUAUUGCUUCAUGAUUCUUAUUCCAAUAGCACACAAAAUUUCAGAUUCUAUAACUGCCUCCUUUUUCUUGCUUUGGAAGUUGCCACAUGUUUAAUUAUUUUAUUGAUAUAUGUGCUAGCAAAAUGGUGACCAUAUAUUAGAUUGUUGAGAAUAUAGUAGGAUUGGUAGAACUUUUAUUAUUAUUUUAGUUUCUCUGUAGUGUUGGUAUUGUUUUAAGUACUUGUACAGUUGUACUUAUGUAUCGAGAUGGAUGCAUUGUUUCUAAGGCAUCCCUAAAGCAUCGUCUAGGCGUCAGACCGCCCUCCAACACCGAAGUGUCGAUCUCGCCUUGGAGAGGCACGUACGUCUGCCUUAGGACAUUUAGGUGUCCAGGACAUUGAUUAGGCGUCAUAGAGCAACUCCCUGGGCAAAUUGGACGCCAUAUGCAGGUGCAGCAGCCUCCUGUGCGGAAAAAUAAAACCCUGAGUACGGGGAGGAGAACUGGAAGCGGGCGGAAGAAUUAAACCCUAAGUACGGUGAGAGAGGGAUGGCGCAGGUAGCAGACAGCAGUUAUCUCUCCAGGUGGAGACCAGCUGCGGGACUCAGAUUCAAAGGCCGCAGCCACAGCUUCCUCCUCUGGGCUGGGCUUCUCUCUGGCGCAUAUAUGUCUCCUCUCCUCUCAUCUUGCUUCUCCUUUCCCCUCAUCUCUCUUCUCUUCCCCGCACCUCUCCAUUCUUCCCGUGCCCUCCCCUGCUCUUCAAAUUACUGCAAUCACUAAUUAUGAUGCCUAAAAUCACGGCCACGCAAAUCGUGGCGUAUUCCUAUCCUUCAGAUGCUACCUAUCAAUUAUGGUUAGUUACCAUGUUUGAUUCCCUUGAUUGCCAUCCCUUGAUUUCUUUGAUGGCUUUCCCUACGAUUCUAUCCUUCAGUUAAAAUGCUCCCUAUUAGUGGAUGAUGUCCCUAUGAUUGCUCAACAAUUUUAAGGUAUGUAUCUCUACUCAAUAGCUAAUAUAUUAUGCUACAAUAGUAGGUCUAAGGCGUCGCCUCACCUUACGCUUCAGGCGCUUAAAAGUUGAAAAGAGGUCAGGGCGCCUCGCCUCGCCUUACCGCCUUAAAAACCAUGGACGGAUGAAUAUGUACAGACUUUUUACCAUCUCUUACAUCAAGUAACACAGUUGCUUGUUUGAAACCUUUGGGGAUCUUGCAGUUCGGUCCACUAAUGCUGAAAACUCCUUGUACUCCCUCCGUCCAACAAAGGAUGUCUCAACUUUGACUAAAUUUGAAUGCAUCUAUACACUAAGUCAUGUCUAUAUACAUCCAAAUUUUGACAAACUUGAGACAUCUUUUGUUGGACGGAGGGAGUAUGUAAUAAGUACUACUUUUCCUUAUAUUUCCUUGAAUGUUCUUUGGCAAUUAAUUCGCCUACCUUUUGUAUAAGUAAUAUUUCUCCUUGUAUGUUCUUUGGCAAGUUCCUAGAACAAUAGCAUGAAAAUGCUACCUCCAGAUUCAGAUACUUCUGCUAUCAAAAGCAUGUGUUGAGGAUAAUGCCAUUGUCUUUGUACAUGGAAUUGAUGGUUUCUUAUUUUUUUGCUAUCUAGUGGUGGUACUGUAAUCUUUAGUUGUGUUAAACCGAAGAAACAUGCUAUGAUUCCAGUAAGUUUUCCCUGGCCUCGGUAAGGAAACUGAAAGCAUAAUUCUAGUCAAUUGUUAUAAUAGACUGUUUCUAAUACCUGCUCCCUAAUCCCUAUAAAUAUAUUUCACCUCUUUUAAGAGAAAUGUAAAUAUGACCUCAUUCAGUAAAGGAAAAUAAUACAGACCUUAAGCAGAUUAACGUUUUUAUCCCCUUUGGAUUUGCAAAAAGGUCCUUUGCUCUUCAUAGGCAUAUGUGAAGUGCAGAAGACACGCUAAGGUCGAGCAGUUGACAUUCAUUGGGACCUUCAGUUCCAAUACGCUUGUUGGUAUCAGUUUGCCUUUUGUAAAUGUAAAACAUUUCAUGGAAAUUUGAGCUCCAUUAGUAUGCAGUAUGGAAAUAUUUGCGCCAAAGUAAUUAUCUGCCAUUUAGACUCUUUUGAAAUAUUUGCGUGUGUGGUUAGCUUGGUCUUUUACUCAUUCCAAGUUGAGCCUUUUUUACAUUCAGUUGGUCCUGUGCUGGCAUUUCAUCCCAAGUACUAAAAUAUGUAUGUGUGCUAGAGUUCUCAUAUUUACUUUCGUCGCCUUUGUGCAGUUGUGAUGGAGACUGAUGGGUUUAACUACUUGGAGGAGACAUGCCCAUCCCUGCUGUCUGAUUUGUUAGCAACCGUCGCGGUAGUGGACGAUGAUCCUACAUCUGUUAACCGGAAAAGGGGAGUUUGUAUCAACGAAGAUGUGAAUCCAGUUGAAAGUGUUGAGGCUAGUGACAGGCGCAUCCGCAGGAGGGUUUAGGUGUUAGGUGGAGGUUGUGAACUAAUAUGUAGCUUAUGUGCUUCCCAGAGUUGCUAUGAAUAUGAAGUGCUCAGUGACGGAACUUCGAUUUGGAUGCGAGUCUCUUGUGAAUAAUCUCCAAUUCUAAUGGCGUUAGUUGUAACUUUGUCGCAGAUCAGGUAUGCGGUAAGAAGAUUCUAGUCAUGACAGGAUGAUCCAUUCCAUUGGCUUGACCGCUUGGGUAUGUUGUAUGCUGUAUUUAGCUAUGUAAUGCUGAACUGUACUGCUUUCCAAGAAGAAGGCUCUGGUGGGAAUGAAUACAGACUAGGUAUCUUCAGCAGAUGCAGCAUUUUCUGGUACAAUUUUUCUUGUUUGACAUCAUAAUAUUAUCUCACAACCAAGUCUGAGUCGACAGAAAAAGAAGGAAACCAAGCCUGUAUGCAGUGAACAAAACAUAGUUGCAUUGCGUGCACUGUACAUUUAUUCAAUCAACCACACAUUUCAGUCAACCGCUCUCUUAACAGAUAACAGUAAAAUCAUCUCCUCUGCAACAGGUGCAUCAGUGGGCAGAGAAUCUGCAUCUGUUUUAAACCUUGCGGAGCCUGCAACCGAAACAAUUUGAUAUGAUGUAUCGUAGAAACAUAAUUGGUUGGCAACAUUCUAGCUAGCAGAGAACUGUGAUCAUGUACCUCGACGACGAAGCAAGACCAGAGCUCAUCACCCCGGUACUCCAGCUCUCCUUUCAGUAUGCUCAGCUCGAGGCCCUUGAACAAAUGUAGAGUCUCAAAAAAGACAUCAUACUGCUUGCACAACAUCUGGGUACAAAUAGUUCCACACAAUAAGUAACAUGGGACAUGAUCACUAGCACAGCAGCGAAAACUGAUUCAUGCGCAUUUGUUACCUCAAUGAGAAGAUGACCAGGUUGCUCGAGCUCUUCCACCCUCAGUGGGCAGUUUUCCAGUUGCUUCUUGGCCUCGUAACUGAAUUCUUCGUGCACUAUUUUGUCCUGAAGCUGUUUCAACAUCAUGGUAUUCACUUGUCAUAUGGCCGUUACUGCUGACAAGUUAAGAUCUAGAUCCAUGUCCAAGAAAAGGUCAGAUCCACAAAUAUAUUACUAUCCCUAACAUCCUAAUGGAUCCCAAUCCCUUCAAUUUCUUCCAACAACUUCUAGGGGCGAUACUAAUAAGUUGGAAAGAUAUAUAUUAGAUCUAUAAUUUCUCGAGAUAGCCUUAGUUGAGAUUUUUAGAUAGUUCUACCAUCAGAAUCCACUAUGAUAUGGCGACAAGUCGAUGGGGAUGAGAUGUGAUAUCAUGUUAAUAUGAUGAAUCAUUCGUGAAUUCUAAAAUCUUUAGUACCACACAUAAAUUUGAAUCCCACCUUCUCAGCUUUCUCAGAUACACUUUGGAGGAACAGCAUGUGUGUUAUUGUUCUGUCCAGGAGAGCAUCAAUGCUGCACUGUUUUUGCAAGAAGAUUCAAUCAAUGUAUUUUUGUCUCUACAAAGAAACAAAAUGAAAUAAGGGAGAUAAAUCAAAGAACUUAGAAGAUGAACCUUUGAUGCAUUUGGAAUGAGCUCCCUCAGCUCCUUCAUCCUAUCUUGGAUCAGUUGUCUGUCCCUCGGUCUUGGUCUGUGCAGCUCAGUUCUUCUGCAUCCAUGUUUUACUUCAACUGAAUUUCCCUUGCACACGUCUUGAAUUGUAUGACCUGUGUAUUCUUCAGCUAUGAUCUUGUUGAUUACCGUGGGGAACGAAAGAUUAAUUUUAGGACUUGUGAAGCCUUCAUUGACUGAGAUAGGUGAAAAUUCUUGACCACCUGAAGGAUCUGGGACUGACCAUUCCUCCAGCCUUAGUGAAUGAUCUUCUCUCUGAAUUGGUGUUUCGCAUGAAGUAUAAUAAUCUGUUGAGUGAGAAGAGUCACUGUUUGGGAUAUUACCAACCUGGUUGGUUAAAGCAUCGAGUAAGAAUUCUGUAUAAUCGGCAUUCUCGAGAUGAGAAUAAAAGUAUGUUUUGCUUCCAUUCGCUUGACGGAGAGAAUGGCUUGUAGACUCUUUCUGUUGGAAUCUACUAUUCCAAAUCGAGUUCUCAAGAUCUUCCCUGGGCAUUGCCUCAGGAUCUUUGUGCAGCUUUGAAUGAAUCGAAAGAUUUGAAGUUACAACAUCAUCAUUGAAAACAAUAGUGCUGCCAUGUCUGUGCUCAUGAUAUUGCUGUGCCAUAUAUGCAGUAAAAUCUUCAAUAUUAUCAUAAGCUGAAUCUUCUAUGUUAAUUACUGAUCUGCAACUCAGUUUGCUAUUGGAAUUGGUUAACUUGUCCAUAAAUAAUAAGUUUGUCAUGUCUGGCUCGUACACUUUCUUGCUGCAAGUAAGUUCAGAUGGUACUUCGUGAACAUUGGUCCACAGAUCACUCUCAUUGGCAUCGAAGGUUUCAUCUGGGCAAGCUCCUAUAGUGACAUCUUCUAACAUUGGAAAUUCUGACAUAGUGAGGGGAUGUGGUAUACUAAGAUGAUCAAUGGUCAAUAGCUGAGCAGAACUGUUGAUCAAAUCAAAUAAAUCAUGCGCCAGAACAUCUGAAGGAUCCACUGAUACAUUUGCAGUAGGUUUUCUCGAAGUAUUUGAGUAGACAAACCCUGUGGCUGAGGGGUCGUAAAUCUUAUAGAACAAGUCCCUCACGAGUGUCACCAGUGCUGAGCUUUCCAAAACCUGAAGGUCGAGAAUUUGCUACACGGGUUAGUUGAAGAGAUACAAACCUCGUGAACGCAGAGCCUCAACAUUUCUAUGUUAAGAUUACUCUACAGCAUGUUGCUACCACUAUCAUGUUUUUUUUUUCCAACAAUAUGCUGAUUACGCAAUAAUGGUGCAGGUUUUUCCAAACCAUGUCCCUUGCAGGUUUAAACCUGCUUGGUUUUGUUCUAGAAAUGGUAGCGGGCGAUGUCUGUUUUUCUCACAAAAAAUAAUCUAAACCAUGUUUUUGCUCUCGCUUAAAUAUCAUAAUUCACUAAGCCAACUUGAGGUGAAAACUGAACAUACCAUACAUAAAGAGCCCAGGUGAAGAACUCCAUGAGGCAUCACUGGUACAAGCAGAACUGUCUACAGGUAAUUACACUUGCUGGUUAAACACAAGUAUACAUUUGUUAGAGGACAAGUGAAAAUAAGUGGAACUUACUCUGAUUCCUGCUGCAAACUGAAACUGCCAGUCCUCGUGAUACUGAAAAGUAAAGUUGUUGAAACUUGAAACCACAUCUAGUGCUAUGCAAAUUCAACAGUUGUGGUGUGGAAAAGUUUAACUCACCUUAUACAUCAACGUUGAACGAAAAUCAUUGGCAGAAAUCCAGCAAUGUUGCCCCGUAACCGCUACUUUACCAAUAAUUCUGUCAAAAUUGGAAUUAUUACAGAACCAAACAGUAGGCCUAACAUCUAUUAUAAAAAUUUGAACAAUAUGCAGUCAUGCUUACUGUUCUCCAAGAGAAUAUGAGUGACUAAACAUGCUCAGUAACGCUGACCCGAUGGGGCACAAUGGAUAGCUUUGAUAUAGGCCAUUGUUGGGCCAAGUAGGUGAUAUUAUCUGAUUGUCACUCUCAGCUAGGUCAGAAUGACGAUCUCUCAUUUGGUUGUCUUUGCUCAUCUUAUCGACAUAACCAUCGCCCCAAGUCAGGAUCCUGAAAGUUAACUUAUCGAUCAUGCAAUUGAAAGAGUGAAUGAUGGCUUGUUACAAACUAGAGUGAUAAUUGCAAAUUCUAAAUGCCAAUCCAUAAAAAAAUUCUUAUAGCAAGUUACUAGUGCAUGCCAACUGCAUAUAGAAAUUGUGGGCUUAUGUUUUUCUGACUUUAAACUGCAAGAAAUGCGCGCUUGCAUUCCGAUAUAUAGAUACAUAUAUUAGUUUUUGCAAAGUGAGACACCAGAAUGCGACCUUCGAGGAUCGAACGCUGGUGCGCAGCCAGCAUACCUUGCUGGGCUGACCACCCAAACUGAGCUUGGUUCUCUGGGCUUAUGUUCCAUGCACAUCAUCCAUAAAACCAGUAGCUCUAGUGUCAGUCAUAACUUAAGUUGUCAAAUUAAUUGAAUGUACUUGAAGGAUGGUACAGUAAGGACUUCACAUGACACGAGAAUCAUCAUCAUCUCGUGUCCUGUUCAUUAUUUUUUCUUUGAUGCAUGGUGUCAGUUCAAUACUGUUGUCCUAUCAGAUAAGUAAUAGACAAAGAUAACAAAGAGUAGGACUUACCCUGGCUUUUCUCUUUUGAAUGACCAAAAAACUGCAUACUUCCAUAGCCCAUCGGAACAAAAGCCUCGCAAAAAUUCUGUGUUGAGCUCCAUGAGCCUAUAGCUCAAAUCUCAUGCACAAACACAGGCUAAGAGAGGUGGCGGACCACGAGCGAGAUUUCAGAAAAUACGAAGGGGCUAGCUGCAACGAUAAGACGCUCGACCUGCUUGCUUCCACCGCAAACAAGCUCGUUGUUUGAUCAAUUGGCCCAAGAAAUCCAGAAGCACAACUCCCAUAACUCUUCCUCACUCACCCACUCACUUGCAGUGCAAGCCUGCCCUCUGAAGCACCCUGAGAGAUUAAAAGCAAGAAGCACAAGAAUUGCUACCAAGGAAGGCAGAUAUUUUGAAGGUUCUGCAGGUCACUGACAUCCAGAAAAUUCAGUGCUCAGGCUUAUGUUCAAGCGGCAACAUCUUGACAGCAGCUCCUGCAGACCUUAAUGCAAGAGCGUGAGGUUUUCUGCUUGACAGUCUGGUGCUGCAGGGUUUUUUAUUCAGACAUCAGAGAUAAUGACUUUGAGAAACGUAUGAGAAAUAAGAGCAAAGUGAUUGUAGGUUGGGAAAAUCAAGGAACAGGUCAUGCACUUCAAUUAGUACCUAGAACAUCUAAACAUGUGGGUCAUGACUUGUGAGAUAUACAAACUUACUAAGUUCAUUAGCGUGCAUAUAUUCCCUAAAGACAAAGGAAGUGGACAAAAGAGGCGGAAACUUCCUAAGAACAAAGCUUCCAUUUCGGAUGUGCAAGAAAGCCAAAACGAUCGACAAGAAAAGGUUUGGUCUGAUUAUAGCUAACAAGGUUUUGAUGAGAGCUGGAACUUACUGGAGUAUGAUGAAUCUGCAGAAGUCAGCAAACGGCGAGAGAUGAGAGGUGAUGCCAAGCAAGCAGGUGCCUUUGAAUUUUUUUAGGCGGACAUGAGAGGCCUCUUAUCAACUCCACUUAAUUUUUAAGGGAAAGAUCCUUCCAGCCACUGGCUGUCCUGUUAUCAGUUAAAUAAUAAUUUGGUCUACUAAAAUACUACUAUAUUCUCUAGUAUAGUGCAAAUUGUACUUUAGUACUAGUUCAAGUGUUCCAUUUCAUGGCCCCAGUUGGGAGUUGCAGACCCUAGGCAACAUGGAUGGUCAGAUGGAGGUGAAUGGAGAAAUGAGUUAGCACUAACAUUAAGCUUGAACAAAGAGUUGGUAGGUAAUAGCAUCCAGCUACCGUGUGAUAAGUGAAAACGUUAUAGAUUGCUUUGGGAUUUUAUUUCUGCAGAAUGAGGAAAGUUCUGCCAUCACCGAAGGUGACAUAUAGAAAGAAGAAACUGCACAACCAUACGACAUCAAUGCCCUCACCAUGUACUGAAUAAAACACAGUAUAAGACAAGAAAGUAGGGGCAAAGUAAACACUCCAUGUUGUCUUUGUAUUAUAGUACCUAGUCCAGAUUUAAUUGAAAAGGCUUAUCUUUUAGUAUUCAUUUUCUUUUAUAUUGUGAUGACAUAGGCUGAGGAUGUAACCUGCCGACCAGUUUUGGGAAACGUGUAAAUAAAGAAAUGGGAACCUCUCUCUGUCUGCAUAUAUGUUGUUUAUGUUGAUUCCAUCUUGUGGUUCAGUAGGUCAACUCAUAGAACUACUAUUUUAUUAGCAAGCAUGCAUCAAAGAUGAAUGAAUACUUCCAACUGUAGGAUAAGAAUAUUAUCUGAUGCUGAAAGCUUGCCCCCAUAUUAUUUCCUUUUGUCAAAUCAUAAUUUAGCCUGAAUUCCUUCUAAGUCAACCAGAAGUAUUUCAUGAAGUGCCUGUUUACAUCUCUACUGCUCUUCCAAACAGCUAUGAAUUAAAGAGCGAGACUACAAAGAUUACGUUUAGUACGACUUACAAAAUUACAAGUGCAUUUCUAGUGCAAAUGGAAGCUAACUAAAGAAAUUCUGGUUUCUGGAAUGAACAUUGCAUUGCACCAAACCUGCAACUUUAGCGGUGCACUAUGAAUCAUUUUGCUACAAAUGAGUGUAAGAACUAUGCAUGCACGUUCCAGCUACGAGGAAAAGGGCGGGCCUACCCUGCUUUUGAUCCAACAAAAUGAGCACAAUGUUCAAUGGUAAGAACUACAAGUUCUGUAUGCCAAGUGCUACAUUCUGGUGAGAUUUUAACACCUCAAGAAUACAUAUUAAUCCUCAGUUCCAUUCUUAUUGACUGUAUGCAGCCAGUUGACUUGUACCUCUAUGUAUAGAGCCAUCAUAGUACAAUUUAGGAAGACAGAAACAAAUUUCUUGUAUAAAGCCAUAACUAGAAUAAAUAGUAUAUACCUUCUUUGUUAAUCAUCAGCGCUUCACUGUGUGAAUAUAGUUAUCUGGAAAUCAAAUAUAAACCAGGGUAAUUCAUAACUUUCAAGGAGACCCAUUAUGAUAGAACUACUGUGGAGCUGCCAUUUCCUUGAAAACCCAUUAUAGAUGCUUCUUAGGGCCAUUUCGGCAGACUGUUGAACAUUUUUGUUUCCAUAUGUCAUGUGUUCUUUGGAGGAGGGUUGGCAGAUUGAAACCAUUUCCAGUUGCAGGGAAAACACAGUUCUUGUCGGUAAAUAGACAAAGCACAUUACACCAGUUUACAGUAGUGUGGUUCUCCAUCUGAACAUGGAAAUAACAUAAAUGCAUCGUUAGUUAGUAGUCCCAGAAGACAACAAAAGGUAAUGAGGAUGCAAGGUCAGGCAUCAUAGCAUAUUUUAUCUUGGAGACAGUUGAAAAUCUCAAAUAUUUCCAGGAAAAAUACUUUAAAACAGCCCUGACCACUAACCUCUUAAUGCGAAGCACCUUGAAACUUACUACAGAGGACUCUAAAUACAAGGAGAGUGAAGCAUAGAGAACUACGACAGACCUUUGUAUUCCUGCAUCUAGGAACAAAUGCUCUCCAUAUUCUGAGCAGAAUAUGAUAACAUAGCCAUGAUGUAACAAAGUUGCUUCCAGCCAAUAUUUUGAGGACCUGAUGCUAUAAGCACUUCUUGUGUGUGUUUUCGAACAACCACUCCUUGCGAUUGACUGCAUCAAAGCUAUGCUGGCUUAAUGUUUGUGAAUGACUGAUGCCAUGAGGCAACCAUCUUAAAUAUAUUUUGUCUGUCGAUGUUUUCUAUUCAAUUUGUUAUCUCUCACUCCUUCGUGCAGUACUUCAUAAGUAGGGUAACUAAUGUGACCCUUCUUCAUCAAGUCCUCAACAAGUAUCUUUGGUGCCGCUAUUUUCUUCUUGUCAGCACUGAAGAUGGUAUCUACAACCUCAGGAACAACUCCAAUUCUCACCAUGAUACGAAUAACACCAACAGCCUCCAAAAUCCGAUGGUUCACUGUUAGUGUAUUUAGCACGCGGCCAAAAGUUGCCAUCGAUGGAACGAAACCCUUGUUUAUCAUUUCCACGAGAUGCUCGUAUGCGCAGUCAACACUUGCAGCCUUGCAUGAUCCAUCAAUUAGGACACGAUAAGUAUAUGAAUCAGGUCUGUGGCCCUUCUUGACCAUUUCAGCAAAAAUAUUUUCGGCCAUUUGCAUAUCCAGCUUACUGCAAUAUGCACCAAUUAGGAUAUUAAAUGUAUCAGCUGUUGCGGAGUACCCUCUUUCCUCCAAUUUCUGAAACAGUACGUACGCUCCCUCAAGCUCACCAUUCCUACAGAAUCCAUGAAUAAGUGUGUUGAAACUGACUGCAUCAGGAGUUAGUCCUUCUUGACUCAUCCUCACUAUAACCCCAGAGGCAUCUUCCAGUUUAUUGGACUUGCAGAAAUUCUCUAUCAGUAUGUUGUAGGUAAUAGUGUUUGGGCGGCAUCCUUUAAGGGUCAUCUCUCUGAAUGUUUCGUUGACUUCAUUGGUCUUCCCAGCCUUGCAGAGACCAUUAAGAACCGAAUUGUACGUGAUAGCAUCAGGGGUGAUGCCGUACGUCCACAUCCUUUCAACAAGCUGAAGAGCACUGUCCAGCUUCAACCUCUUGCAGUACCCAUCAAUCAACGUAUUGAAGGUGAAGACGUCAGGAAGGUAUCCUUUCAAGAUGGCAUCGUUCAUGACAACUGUGGCAUCCGAAAUAUUCCCCAUUUUGCAUAGCCCGUUGAUAACGAUGUUGUAUGUCCAAAUGUCAGGAUGGCAGCCGUCCUCAGACAUCUCAUUCAUGACCUGCAAGGCCUGCAAGAUCAGCCCCUGGCGACAGAGCCCCUUGAUAAGAGAGUUGUACACGACAAGAUCGGGCUUCAGUUCUUUUGCCUGUGCCUCAUUAAACAGCUCCAGCGCUCUCUCGACAUCACCCUCAGCACACAGCCCGUUGAUCAAGGAGCAAUAUGUGACCCUGUCUGGUACAAAACCUUUAAAGACGGCGUCUUUCAAGAGCUCAGUAGCUUCUUGCAUCAGGCCCAUCUUGCAGUAGCCGUCAAUGAUGGUGUUGUAGGUGAAAUCAUCGGGCAUGCAUCCCCGGUUCAUCAUCGUACGAAGGUAGCCUGCGGCUUCCCAGGCUUUGGAGCCCUUACAAAGGCCACGAACGAGCGUAUUGUAGGUCACAACGUCUGGAAUGAUAUACUCUUCCAUCCCUUGCACAAGUGCAACGGCUUCAGCCAACCUGCCGCAUUCACAGAGCCCCCUGAUCCAAAUAUUGUAGGUGAACCGGUUGACCAACAUCCCCCGCUUAAUGACCUUAGCAAGAAGUGCGGCGGCCUCCCAGAUAUCCCCUUUCUUGCAAAGGUCAUGCAGGACCCUGUUGAAAGUGGCAAGGUCAGGGAACGCCCGAGCCUCCUGCAGCAUUUCGUCGAACAGGCAGCGCGCGUCGUGGGCAUGGCCGUGCGCGUAGAGGCCGCUGACGACGGUGCAGUAGGCGACGGGCCUGGCAUGGAAGCCACGGUCGGGGAAGGUUCGGAGGAGGCGGAGCGCGACGUGAGGGCGGGCGGUCAGGCAGAAGGAGCGGAGGCGGACGGUGUGGGUGUGGAGGUCGGGGGAGACGCCGGCGGCGAGCAUCCGGACGUAGACCUUGUGCGCCUGGGCGUGGUGGUGCGCGUGGACGAGGGCGUCCAUGAUGGCGUUGUAGGCGGGGGCCUGCGGCGGGCAGGCGUAGAGGUCCAUCCGCUCGAAGGCGUCGGCGGCGGCCUGGAGGCGGCCGGCGCGGGCGAAGGCGCGGAUGGCGGCGACGUAGAGCGGGUGGAGGGAGUCCGGCGGGGACAGGGCGGAGCGCGCGGAGGAUAGCGCGGCGUCGACGGCAUCGACGCUGCCGGUGGAUGCGAGGCGGUGGAUCAGCGCGCCGUACGCCGGGACCGUCGUCAGAGCGCGUCCUGGCGGCAUUCGCUGCUGGUCUUGUGUCUUCAUUUCUCAAAGGCUAGGCUGCUUGUCACGUCUAAUGGGCUGGACUGGGUUUGCAUGGGCUUGAGUUUAGCCGAUGCUUGAUUUACAGCCCACCUGGAUGGCCCAUACUAUGAUCAAAAAUUUCCUCCACUCAAAAAAAAAGGAAAAUCGAUUUUUUUUUCUCUUUUGCGUGUGGAUCAACAGAAGCUGCAAUUUUUAAUGGCUGGUUUAGCAACAGAAUAAAGAGUCAACGGUUCUCGCUCUGGUCCCACCUAUCAUUCUGCCACACUGGAUUACAUAUUGUAUCGAGAGAGAAAAAAAAACGAGAGGUGGCAAGCUUGUGCAAGACUGCACAUCUGCUAUCCAAAUGAAACCGAGCUAGUCUUCCGCGGCUCGAAAUUUCGUCUCAAUCACCGGCCAUUUGUCAUUCUCGUCUCAAUCACAAGACAUGCAAAAGAGGUUAAAAUUAAUCUGGACCGAAUCGAAUUUAAAUGUUCCUUAUACUUAUUCAGUUUGACCGCAGACAAUUUAAAAGCUAGAGCUAGCUAGCACGUAUACUAGUCAUGGAGAGGAUCGAUUGAUUACCCGCGGAUGGAUAUUGGCCGGAUAUAUUCGAUUAAUUAUUCGGAGCUAGCAAAUCUGGAUUGAUCGAUAUCGAGGUUAGUAUAACUUAUAAUAAAUAUAUGAUCAUCAGUCAUUCGAUCGGAUCUUAGUUUCAAGAUAAGGAUGUGUAUAUAGCGAGCGAGGUCUCCAUCUGUUGUCCCAUGCUCAUGUGCAUGCAUCGCUAUCACCAAAGAUAUCGUGGAAUAUAUCUGCUGCAUGAUGGAUGGAUACAUCGAUCGAGAGAAAUGUAAUUCCUUAAUUUCCUUCCGUUUUAAUCCGAAGAUCUCAAAAUCUACAUAUGGAGCAACCUAUAGAUCCUAGCUAGCUAACCAAAUUGUGGUGGUCAAUUGAUCACAUGCAUGCGAUUGAUGCGUGCACGGAUAUCGAUGGGGCAAGUUAAUUAAAUUAUUGCAUAUCUAGCAGACAGAAAGAGAGGAAUAUAUAAUCGGAUCGAUCCAUAUCAUGCAUGUGUGCAUAUACAUAUGCCUAGCUAGCUAGGUAAUGGAGUCCAUGCAUGCAUGACUAGAUGAUGCUUGUUUGAUCGAUCGAUAUACUUAUAUUCGAUCCGUUUGCUAGCUAGCUGUUGCUGAUUAUAUGGAUCCGGUAAUUGACCGUAUCAGAUCCGAUCACAUGCAUCCACCUGGGAAAUUAAGCUAGAUCGAUCGAGAUAGAUAGAUAUAUACUAGGAUUUUCUGCUUUUGCUUCUACUAGUACGGAUUUGGACGAAUAUAUAAGAUCCCACCUCUUGUCACAGUACUACAUGUAUAUUUUCUUUUCUUUUCUUUUUGUGUGACAGUUUUUUUUUUGCAUGCAUGAGACGAAUCACGUAACCAAAUCAUGGUGAUUUUAUUGUUACUUGAUCAUGCAUGUAGUACUAGGCAGCGUUGGAAAGGAGAGCUAGCUAGCUAAGGUGCAUGAGACAAAUUUAUACGGGGAUCGGAGCUAUAGGUGCAAGUACCAAAGUACCGGCCGGCCAUGAAUUAACGGACUUACCGGUCAUGCAUGCAUCGGAAAUAGGACACGUAUGGCUGUCGAUGGCCGUGUCAUGCAUUCAUGAUCAAGUACACUGUGCCGGCGGUCAAAGCUAGAUCGAGGCCGCACGCAUUUGAGUUUAUGACCUUCAUUUCGUACUUACUCCACUGGCCGGCCGGUACUUAUUGCAACCGCCACCUGCAAAAUGCAAACCUACCUCAAGUACACUUCUCAUGCACCUACAAGCUCUGCUGCGCGCAGUACAGUACGUCUCCAUCCACUCCUCCGACAAAAGAAAUACGGAGUAGGUAGACUUUUUUUGAAUGCUCAGAGUGGCAAAACACAAGAUUUUUUUUUUGAAUGCACCGGCCGCCCAAGUGGCAAACAUAGUGAAUAGUAGACAGAUCCGGCCUGGGCGGCCGGUGCAUCCACAGUGAAUAGUAGAUAGAUCGAUCGGACCAUUAACCGGAGAUCGAGCAUGGCCGGGCAAAAGCUAUCCAUAUGUAGCAAGCAAGGCCGUUUUGUUUAAUUGGAGCCAUAUAUGUAUGCAUGCAUGGAGAUAUACAUAUUUCGGUCUCUAUCCGAGAUUACAAUUUUUACGAGUCGCCUGAUUUUUAAGAAAAAUAAUUAAAUCUUAAUUAGUUGUAGCGUCAGAGCCAUUCGAUCAAGAUCUCAAGUGUUAUCUUCACUUUCUAUUCUUACAUGUGUUGCCGUUAAUCCAAUGAUUCGACUUAAUUUUAUAACUAAAAAUCAGAAAAGUUCUACUAGAUAGUAAACCCGUUUUUAAAUAGCUCACCGGUUUUGCCACCUGCUCAUACGCACAUAUAUUUUUCUCUCUCGCUUGUUGGAACGAUCAGCAGCAUCGUGAUAUGUGGACGACAUGAUCGUGGCCGUCGAGUGAUGGAUGAUGGACACGAAUCAAGGAAAAGAGGAUCACUCACGCACGCGACUUAUCCUUUAAUUUGCAUCCUCGUCUAUCCAUCCAUCUUAGCUAUUGUGUACCGUGCGUGCAUGCGUCGGCCGGUGCCAAAGUCGCCGGCCGGGCCUCCGUCCCGAAUUAACUGUCUUGAAUUUGUAUAGAUUUUUAUACAAAUCGAUCCACUCAGUUGAUUUGAGACGGAGGGAGCAAGUCAGUAGUCAAUGUGUGUAGACCAACAAGCGGUCCAAACAAACCCCACAUCGAUCAGUCAGUCAGCAAUUGAAGCCGACAGCAGUAGAGUGAGCUAGGGGAGUAGCCAAAUUUAAUUAAUCCACCUUCCGUCCUCCUACAUAUCUUCUCGCUAGCUAGCUACCUCCAUCAUAUCUUUCUCUAUACCAGUCAGAAAACUCAGAAGCCAGAAUCCAGUACUAGUGUCUCCACAAGACCGGCCGCAAGGAUCAGCCGAUCGACCAGUCAUUAGUAUUACUAGCUUCUGCUGCUGCUACUACUACUGAUCCACUAUGGAAGGGAAGAAGAAGCCUGCUGCUGCCGGCGCCGGGUCGAAGACGAACGGGAGCUCCAUCGUGGACGACCUCUUCGGGCCCAAGCCUGAUGCCUCCAACUCCUCUUCCUCCUCCGCCAGCUACUUCAGCACCGUUUUCCCAACUCCAUCCGAGGUAAUACACUCACGUCCUGUUUCUAAUUCUCUCUGCGAUUCCGUCUGUAACUAAUUCUAUGCCUGUCUUAAUAUUGGCCUCCAUGCAAGCUCUAUAUUCUCUUCGAUAUAUUCAUCCGCCUUUUUCGCUUCUUUUUUCCUCCGGAAAAUUAAAAACGGAGUAUACAAAUCAAUCUUAACUAAAAUAUGUAUCAGCUGCACGUACUCGAUCGGCUCAUGUUACAUACAUGCAUGUAACAUAUAUUAUACACAUCCUUCAUGCAUGACACAUGGUCGAGCAUUAUUGUGAUCGAUGCAUUACACAUGGACUGCUCGAAUAUAUAUUAACCUCUUUCUUCUCUUACCUGGAAGCAAUUUUGUUGAUCCGUUUCAUAGCAUGCACAUGCAUCCGUGUGCAUAUAUCUUAAUUAGCUACCUACCUGUAUAUGUAGUAUGAGUUACUUACCUGUAGAGCUGCAACUUUGUGAACCUCAGUGUACCUUUUGACCCUUUUUAGUUUAACCAAAUGAACUAAAUUUUUAAAAUGACACAACUUUUUUAAAAACUAGUUCAUUUGUUUGAACUAAGGAGAGGAGGGUCAAAACGUACCCUAAGGGUCACCAUGUUGCACCCUGCUUACCUGUAUAUUAAUGGCAAUUUGUUGAUGGAUGCAUGGCUGCAGGCGGCGGGGAAAGAUGCGUCACGUCGGGCUCAAUAUGGUAAUCAGUCAACAAAUCAAGUACAGUACGUACUGCGGCAAUUAACAUGGUGAAUUCAUUGCAAAUUAACUGAGAUUUUGAUUGAUAUUGCAGCAGCAUCCGGGAACAAAUCAUCGUCGUCGUGGACUGGGCAGCAGCAGCAGCAGUACGGUUCAGGGUCACCUGAGUCUCCUUACUUCGGCUCCUCCUCCGUCCACUACGGCGGCCGGGACUUGUACACCCCCGGCAACGUUAACGGCGAUCAGAGCAAGACUCAUCACGGAGGACCCAUUCGUAAGCAUAAUAAGGUCGACGACGGCGACACCUCUGGAGCAGCCACCCGGGGUGACUGGUGGCAAGGUACCUCCCUAGCUCAGCUCAGUUUCUUCCUUUACAUAUAUGCAUCUACUAGCUCCUGUGUUGAUGUGCAUGCAUCCAGACUAAGUAGACUAAUCACUUUCAUCUUGACUCAACUUCCAGGUUCCCUCUACUACUAGCAAGUGCAUGCACAAGCAGCAGCCUAGCCAGUCCUGGGCGUUAGCCUUCCUUGGAACAUAAUCUGUAACAUGCAUUAUGCAUGCCAGCUUCAUCAAUUAGUCGAUCGAUCAAUUAUUAUGUAAGAACUUAUGUUAGUCUCUUUGAUGCAUCUGUGUGUAUUAUAUAAUAUAUAUACUAGUAAGGUGUGUCCGUGCGUUGCAAUGGAAUAAAUGGAUCGUAUCGAGACACCGAUUAAAAUUUCAAUGUAUCUUAUACACACGCCGAUUGUGAUAUGCUGCGCUUACGUCGCAACAAACACCGUCUUCUUCCUGUUUUUGACCCUCUCCGGUGACCACACGGCGCACUCCUACGUUGACAGUUGACACGUGUUUUCCGCACCCUCCAUAUCUCAACUUUGGGAGAUCCAGAGGGAAAUACGUACAGAGAUUUGCAAGACACAUGUUGCUUGAUCAUCCGUUUCUUCUAUGAUAGCAUCUAGACUUCUCUAUUCGCACUUUGGUCUAACAGCUAGUGGAAACAACUCCAUGCUUUUAUCCAAAUCAAAUUAUGUUCUGUGUGUACUGAAAAGUACCCUGUUUUUUUAGACUAACUUGGUUUCCUGGCCAACCGAUUAUAGCAUGGUAACUGUCAUGCUGCACAAACUUUUAUAACUGCCAUGCUGUUUGCUUUUUGGCUCUUUUUGCCGGAUUUGGCCCAUUCGGCCUGUUUAAAAAAUAUAGAAAAUUAACUGAGCCAACGGAUGGGUGCGGCCCACUGUUGUGUCGUGCGCGGGCCGUCCAACGUGCCAAGGAAUGAAAAAAAAACAUGGCCCAAUUUGUGUCUUGUGCCUGUCUCGAUCCGAAAAAAGAUGUCGUGUCGUCCUUUGGGGCGGGCUUUUUUUUAUGCACCUCGGGCCGGCCCGAUGGCCACCUUUAGAUCCAUGACAAGGUUUGGUCUCACAUAUAAGUCAACGGUGGGACGGGGUGGCUACAGAUCACCACCACCAAAUGACUUGUUUAUAAGAGUAAAUAUAUAUAUUUAACUGUUGUAUUUCGGGCUCUCCCUAUGUUCCUAUUAAUGCAUAGAAAUAAAUUGCACAAAACCAUCACAUUUUAGGUUAUUGGCGGGCGUUACACUCGACCACCACUUCCACUUUGUUUUAUUGUUGCAACCUCAGUGUGUGAUUAAUCACACCCAGAUGGUCGGUUGCCGGCUGGUUCACUGGUCUUUAAAUGCAAAUUUGGCAUAUCAAAACUCGACAUACCAGCAUUUUCAUGGUUCCCAGGAGCGCCACGUGAGAAGCAACGCACAUGCUAUUGCCAUCGUCACUAGGCCUGGACAUUUUACUCGGUACUCGAAGAGUAGCUCGACUCGUUUGGUAUUCGGCUCGUUAGACUAAAGAGCCGAGUAGAGCACCUCCUGAAACUCGUUAACACUAAAGAGUUUAACGAGCCGAGCUAGCGAGACUCGCGAGCAUGCUCGUUAGCUCGUUAUCUGGCGUCUGCUGGUCGAACCAAACACAGUAACCUACGACUUGUUAGGUCCAACACACCUUCCCGAACAGCCCAACUGCCUGAAUGCAGCCCAAGCCCAAGACUCGUUAGGUCAGCCGGGUCUCCAGUCUCCUCCUCGUUUCGUACUCUCGUCAAACUAAUAUUAGUCUUAUUAGUGCUUUUGUAUUGUAUUGUAUGAGGACACGAAGCUGUAAUGGCUGUUAGUCUUAUGAGUAUUUGUGUUGUAGCCUGUAAUGGUUAUUAGUCUUAUUUAUUAUGAACUUAUUAUAAUGUUGUACACAUGUUUUGCUUGUCGUUUUUUCUACAUACAUGCUGUCCAUUUUUUUCCACCGCUAACGAGCUUAACAAGCGUCCGACGAGCGCUCGCGAGCAGUAAACGAACCGAGCCGAACAGGCUUUGAUGUUCGUUAAGGUUAACAAGCAUAACGAGCCGAGAUCUUAACGAGCGAGCUCUUAACGAGCCGAGCAUGCUCGUUAGCCAGGCCUAAUCGUCACACGGUUGUUUCGAACUAAGGUAAGAUCUAGCUAUGUCUGUUCAUUAAAAAAAAGCAAUGUAUUAUAAACGCCUUGAACAGACCAGCCUUCUCACUCUCACCCGCACGCAGAACAUCUCCUAGUCCAGAUUUGUCAUUGUUGUCACCACCGCCUCAGGUACCUAUCAGCAUGCACACCCCACACUACACUAGGUCAGUGGGUGUCCUCGACACCUGCUUGUCCACGGGGAACAUGCACGUCCCGACAGCAUCCAUUGAUCCCGCCCCAGAUCGAGACAGCCAAUGAUUGCCAGCGAAACCGCCAAAAGUAGGUCCAGGGAGUAUAUGCGGUUUCGACUGUUUGAGAUGCAAGUAGGUUGAAAACUUGCCAGCAUGUCCCAUGUCCUCUCUUUUUUGCCAAGGCAAAGGUGGCGACAUGAUGCAUGAAGACGUGGGUAUCCGAUCGCUUGGCGCGCUUCGUCCCAUCCUUCCACUCCAUCACCUCCACUGCACCACGGUAUAGAAUUCCCGACCGUGGAUGGCUGGUAAAAGUCGAUAUAUACCGACCGACCGUUGGCCGGAAAAAGUCCCAACCAAUUCUUGGUCGGUAUUUCUAUAGUAUGCUGAAAGAUUGUUGGUUGCCCCGUCCUUCCACUCCAUCACCGUCCACUGCACCACGGUAUAGAAUUCCCGACCGUGGAUGGACGGUAAAAGUCGAUAUAUACCGACCGACCGUUGGCCGGAAAAAGUCCCAACCAAUUCUUGGUCGGUAUUUCUAUAGUAUGCUGACAGAUUGUUGGUUGGGAAUACGAGAAACUUUGCUGUCGAGAAGUUGGUCGGGAAUACUAACAUAGGCGUCAAACGGUCGGUCGGUAAAAAUUGCCGACCAACGAAUGGUCGGUCCGUUCAUUGAGCUGAAAUUUUAGGGCGCCACAAUUUGGCCCGGCCCGCCAAAGCUUCCCCCCCACCCAAAGACCUCCAAAUUCCUAAAUCCCUGUACGCCACUACUCAUGCCCUAAAUAUCUCUUCCCCUUCCAGCUCGCACGCCGCCGCCAUUCUCGAUCUACGGCCGUUGUCCUCCUGCCUCUCCACCACCGGCCUUGCUUCCGCCCCGAUCUGCUUUUCCGAUGUGCCGCCUGGCCACCUCCCCCAUGCGCUCGACCGUCGCCAUGCCUUCGUAGGCACCGACCGCCGCCGCCCCAGGAGCUCGACGCCUGCCCCGCCGUUCCUCCCCCCCCCCCCGCCAAGGUGGUCCUUUGCCAUCCCCUCUGGUGAGCACUUCCAUCUCCCUUCACCAGCCCCACCCCGACCCCCAAAUCCCCUCGGCCACACCACACCAGCACAGACACCCCAAAUCCCUCUCUUCCACUUCCACCACGCACGCUGCCGCCGCCUAGAUCUCUGACCGUCGUCCUCCUGCCUCUCUACCGCCGACCCGCUAGCUGCUCCUGCAGUCCUGCUCCAGUCUGAGGUACGUUGGUCGUCGAGUCCUCCCUAGAUCCAGUACAGUUAAUUGAAUCCCUAAACUGUGAGAUGUGCCCUGGGGAGGGAGGGGAGGUGCAGGACGCUAAGGGCAUUGCCGCAUGGGGCUGGAUCUGAGGAGCUGCAAGAGGAUUGAGGCGGGUCUCCUCUUUGAACCCGAUGAACUACAGUGUGGCGGCUGUUUCCCUGUUUUGAUUAAUAACAAUGAAGGUGACAAGCAUUUCGUUUUCUCUUUUCUCUGUUGUCUUGUUUGCUUCAAUUUUUUACGCCCUCCGUCUAACAAAGGAUGCCUCAACUUUGAUUAAAUUUGAAUGCAUCUAUACACUAGAUACAUUCAAAUUUCAGCAAACUUGAGACAUCCUUUGUUGGACGGAGGGAGUAUUUAUUCUGCGAGAAAACCUUCCUUUAAUAAAAAACAUUUAUUAGUGCUGACAUGCUAAAAACAUUUUUUGUUUACAUGAUAAAGUGAUUCAGAACAGAUGGUUCACUCUUUUGUUGUUUGUCUGUCUUCUAUUGUACAAGUAUAAACGUGAUUCAGAACAGCAGGACCAACCUUACAGGCACAAGCCACCCGAAUUCCAGAAGGUAAUAGACAUGAUAAAAGUGUUAGUGCUCCUUGUCUCCUUGAAAUAUAUUUGGAAUUGGAACUGCAUGUUUUGGAGGCCAUCUAUAGAUUGUGCAAGACAACUACCCCCUCUGAUUAUAUAAAUGCAAUAGUAGGACGGUGGUUACAUUGAUGCUGAGAGAAGUUGAAUUUCACUCUCUAAAUGAAUCUAAAUAUGAUUCUGUCUGUUUAUGGAUGAUUACUUUAAAUUUGCUUGCUGCUUAUGUGUAGCUUCAAUUAUAUAUAAUGUAUUACUCUAGUUCGCUCUCCUUUGCUGUUUAUAUUUAUUAUCUAGGCUUUGAUCAGGGUUCAGAGCCUUGAUCAUGUCAACUAGGAAUCGAAAGUAAAUCCAUCAUAUUUAUCCAAUAAAUGUUUCUGUAGAGAUUCUUUGCCAGCUGCACAAGCAUUUAUAAUUCAGCAAUAUUUAUUUUCCGUAAGAAUACAUGCUAGUGUAGCACAGACUUGAUUGCUUUUUGGGUUAGUGACUUGUUUACAUGCUUGGUAGGGUAAAUGUACAGCAAAGAAAGGGUAAGCUGAAUCUUGCUAAGUCCGAAAAAGAAGCAGUUGCCAUACAUACGAUGAGUCCUUUAUGGAGAGAGACCAAAUGCUAGUGUCUCAGGUCAGAGGUCACAUUAUACAGUCAUGCCCGUGUUAGCUAAGAAAUGGUAGAAAUAAUUACCUUAACUGAAAUUGAUAUGCCAAUGUAUUUCAAGGACUUCUACUUUAUAGAAACAUCAAAUUAUUGCAGGCUGACGAACUUCUAAUAAAUGGAAUUUUAUAUGCAUCUUGAUGUAUUCAGAUUGUGAUGUGUGCAGCAGAUCAUAUGUGAUGCCUCUUUUUGCAGCAGUGAGACUAGGAAAUGAAAAAAACAUGACUGAAGGAACUGUAUAGUUGUAUUGCGUUACAUUAUUUCACCACCCCAUAAACUUCUAAUAAAUGGAAUGUUAUAUCAAUGUUGCUGCCCAUACCUAGAACUGUUCAAACCAUGAAUGCAUUUUAGAAAGCCUGAACUGUACAUCUAGGAAAAUGAAACUGGGGAGACCAGUUUGAGAAAGACAUGAGCAGAUAUGCUAAUCAGUCAGGCAAAGGAACUGUGAAUAGAUAUUGAUAACAAGACUUUAAUUCACCUGUUGUACUCCAAACUUGUAAGUUAUUAUUAGUGUUCUUUUGUUAUUAGUUUUGUAAAUCAAACAGACUUGGUUGAGACAUGGUUACCUUUUGUACGCAGGAAAUACACGAGAGAACAUAGUAGCCGGUGGUUCGCAUCAAUUAGAUGAUUGCACAAUGAAGUAAAUUUGUUGAUGUUGGAGAUGCACCUUGUAGCUAUCAUUUUGUAAAACUGGAUAAGUGGUGUGUCUUGUGCACUCAACCAAGAUCUUUCAUGCACUUAUCAUCUUUAACUUCUAUGGGUAGCAGUGAACUUAUAAGAUUCAUGCACUAUUUGUAAAUGUGAUGAAUUAAUGUAUCAAGUACAGUUAAUUUAAUAUCAUGCGUGUUGUUAAUUGGUGGAUUUUGGAAGUACAUCAUUGUCAAAUAUUUUCGCAAAGCAUCUGAUUUAUACAUGUAAAGCUGUGUGCCUGGACCUUGUAAAGUCAAUUGGCGAAAGCCUGGGCAACAAAACGUUGGUCGGCAAAACAUAUGCUGUCCGACGGCUGGUUGGGAAUGGUUAUGUGGUUGGGCUACUGAAUGUCUGUCGGGAAUAACCAUAGCAACAGAUUGUUGGUCGGGAAAGCAGCGUCGGUCGGAAAAACUUUGCCUGUCGGUAAAGAAAUAGUUGGUCUGGAAUGGUAUUCGGACGCCGUCAGAUAGUCGGUCGGCAAAGUAAAGUUGGUUGGGAAAGGGCUUGGCCGACAGGACUUUCGGUGACAGACAAUGUUGGUCGGCAAAAUCCUUUACCGACCGAUCUUCUGUUGCUAAAAGCAGUUUUCCCGACCAACUUGGCUGUCGGAAAUUUUAUACUGUGGUGUAGUGAUCACGUGUUCCCUCUCAUGUGCCGCCAGACGCAAGUGGCACCAUCCGAGUCCGAAUCGGGUCCUUGUGGUCACCACCGCCUCCGGUGCGUAUCAGCACGCAUAUGCUCACACCAUGUCGGUGGCCGUCCUCAUCACCUGCUUGUUCAUAGGGAACACGUUGGAUGGCACCCAUCACGAACCGCACCCGAUUGAGACAAUCAACGGGCCGGGUGUCCAUGUACGGAACCACCAAAAGUGGUACUUGGGGAAGAAAAGCAUAUGUUUUACGGUUGGAGGACUAUGCUUCUUCUGUUUACAAAAUCGGGACUAAACAUGGACUUUUGUGACGAUUGAAGGACCAAAAAUGUAAACCGCAUUUAUAAAUGAUGAUCAACUGUCACAUGACCCUGGGCAUGGCCUCACAUGUUUUAGUUCCAUCAACGGUUCAUGAGAGUAGCUAGCUAGUGUAAAACGACCGGCCGAUCGACGGUACACAUAUUUCUCUCUCUGCUCUUUUAAGAUGGCAAUUUCUAGAAAAUAGCUCACCACGUUUGCCACCUGGUUAUACAUAUAUAUUUCUCUCCCUCUAUAGGCAAGCCUUGCCUUGUUUCUUUUGAACGAUCGGCGCGGCCUACGUCGCCGCAGGUAGAUAGAUAGAUACAUUAGCAUCGCGAUCGAUAUAUGGACGGCAACGCGGUGUGGACUCAUCGAUGAUGGACUACACGGAUGAACCAAGCAUCCAAAAGAGGAUCACGCACGCACAAGCGAUCGAUCGACUUAUCCUUUAAUUUGCGUCCUGAUCCUGAUCAUCUUCCCAUCUACUAUCUGUGUACUCCAGCUGCUACGUACCGUGCGUGUCCGUGUGCGUCGGUGCCAACUGCCAAGCUUGCUAGAGUCAUGUGUGUCAGUAGGCAGUCAAUGUGAAGACCAAGAAUUGGAGAUCCGGACAAAAAUGACAGCAAAUUGAAACCGACACCAGUAGAGAAUGAGUAGCCAAAUUUUACCAAUCCGCCUUCCUCGAUUCCUCCGUCCUAGGUAGUACUAGUACAGCACACAGGA
rnacentral:lncRNA from 1 species